UUAAAAAGAAUAGGAAAUAAGCUACCCGGCAGCUCAGCGGAACGCUUCCUCCAGGAGGGGAGAGCGAGGCUGCAGAGCCUCUCAGGAAAUUGCCAGCAUCGUGAGAAUCGCAAAAGUGGAGGGGAUCGGGCUCUGCUUGCAGCCAGACAGCCAAGGUAAGGCGAUGGUGUUUCGCCCAUUUAUCUCGCUGCCCCCUCGUGCCGUUGUGUGUGUUUUGACUAUUGCUGUUGCUGCCGCAGCCGCUGUUCCUCGCUGGUGGAGGGAGGCAGCAGCAGCAGCAGCAGAUUCCAUUUUGCCUGGGCUUCUGAAGAGGUGUCAGGUUGCUUUUCUUCCUUUAUAUUUAUUUAUUUUAACAGGACGCUCCUCGCUGCCUUUCGGGACUGUUGUCAAGUGUGUGUUUGUGUGUGUGUGUGUCUCCCCUGGGUGGGUUUGAGCCUGCGAGGUGGCUCCUCUUGCAAGGCUGAUGCCUGGGUGCCUGAAGUAACCUCUUGCGGUGUCAAUCGGCGGCUGUUAACCCUCUCCGCGCCUUGCGCCCAGGAAGGCCUGCGCAAAGGUGGUGUUGAUGUCGGUGGUCCAUAGGGGGCUGGAGCGUGCGCCGGGGAGGGCAGCGGUGUGUGUGUGUUGAGGGAAUGUUUGAGGAGGCCUGCUGGCCACAGGAGGGCCAAAAACAAGUCUCAGGUGGGCGAAUGAUCUUGCAAAAAAAAAAAAAAAAAAAAAGGGAGGGGGGGAGGGGAGAGAGAAGGAGGCAGAGAAGUGAGGCACACCAAGUUGCAAAGUGACCAGGCCUCCCUAUGCAGCUUCACUUGCAAAUAUGUGCAGUUUUCCCCUUGCAUACCGCUUGUGUGCGGAGAGGCUGGCGGUGCCUUUCACCCUGUGCUUGUUGGGGAAAUGUUGCCAGGAGCCUGCUGCCCUCCGCUGCUGCAGUGAUCUAUCUGAUCAAGGAGCCUUGUUGGGGAUGCGCUGCUCCUCUGCUUGGUGUAGCCAGGCUUCGUUUAUUUUGCUGGUGGGUCCGAAGGAGGUCUCUGAGUUAUGUGGUUGUGUCUCUUGGUGUCAGGAAGGGUGGGCAGCUGCUAGUCUGGCAGGGGAAGGCUAAGGCUUACCUGGGAGCAAACCCCACUGAAUGAAUGCAUUGGGGCUUACUACUGAUGGGUAGGAUUGCGCUGUAAGCUCCUCUCCCUGCAGCCCCCCAUGAGUUGAGUGCAAAUGACUGACCACAGAGGAAGUGUUUCCCUCCUGCUGGUUGUAUUUGGGUUGCUGAGCACAGAUGUGCGGCCUUGGCUUCAGUGUAUUGCACCGGUGGUGGCUUCUGACUCUUGUGCUUCAUGCCCUACCUCUGUCUGGGCACCCCUGUGUCUCGUCCCCCCCCCCAUUGGCCCACCACCAAAGCUGCUGGAUAUGAUUUUAUCCAAGACACAUCUAAGCAACAUUCAGACAUUCGGGCUUUGCAUUCACCGGGGACCGAUUUGCAGGAUCUUGUCUCCUAAAAGCCCUGCAGAAGGAGAUGGCAACCUUUAUCCACCAGUCUCAUGCAGUACCUGCUUGACUGCCUAUCUUUACCCAUGCAUGAGAUUCCACCCCCCUCCCCACCUUCCUUUUUCCCUGCUGGGUUUCAAGGGAACUGCAAAGCUGUGAUUGCAGCAGUGACUGCAGAGGGCUGUUCUCAGUUGGAGGUAAAAAAAAAAAAAAGGGCACCCGAGUGCACAAUCUGGCAAGUCGAUUGUUGGGUGGUAAUUGGCCCAGUUAUUACAUAACAACAGAGAGGCAGAUGCAAUGUAAGCAAAGUGCUACCUUAUACUGUACUGGAUUAAUGAGAACUCCAUAUAAGAGGAAAAAGGGGCUUGCUUUUUUCUGAUCAGUUAACCAUUUCCUGUUGGGGUUUACCAUUCACAUGACUGUGAACGACAGGGGAUAUACAGUGGUACCUUGGGUUACAUACACUUCAGGUUACAUACGCUUCAGGUUACAGACUCCGCUAACCCAGAAAUAGUGCUUCAGGUUAAGAACUUUGCUUCAGGAUGAGAACAGAAAUCAUGCUCUGGCGGUGCGGCGGCAGCAGGAGGCCCCAUUAGCUAAAGUGGUGCUUCAGGUUAAGAACAGUUUCAGGUUAAGAACGGACCUCCGGAACGAAUUAAGUACUAAACCUGAGGUACCACUGUAUUCUGCUGGCAAAACGAAUGUCCCCAAAGGUGCUUUUAACAAAACAAAUAUAGGCUUAUUGUCGUCCUAACCUGCGUCUUCAUAGAAAAGUCACCUGAGCCUAUUGUCUCUGCCAAGGUGUUCAUUACGCUUGGUAAACAAGGAGUAGGCCAGGGAUGUGGAUCAUGUGACCCUCCAGGUUUUGGACUGUGAGUCGUGCCACCCCUUGCCAUUGGCCAUUCUGGCUGAGCCUGAUGGGAGCUUUGGCCUUGCAGGUGUUGUUAGACACCAAGUUCCCCCAUCCCUAAUCUAGGCAAAUUUAUCACAUGCUUAGUAACAGAGUGUAAAACCACAUUUCGUAGAAGGUCACAGUCUGGCUGCCAGCAUUUGGGUCUUCAGCAGGGGAAACAUUUGAUAUUGGUUAGCACCAGAGUCAUUAAAGACGCCUUUAAAAAAAGUUUGUAUUGCAUAGUUUAAAUGAUUGAAUUGUUCCUUUUGUUGAGUAUAAACCCUCACAAGGAGUUGGAUCCAGCAAGAAACCCAUUGGGUCUUCUUGUAAUGCAACCUGCCUCUACAGUUACAGUGGUACCUCGGGUUACAUACGCUUCAGGUUACAGAUGCUUCAGGUUACAGACUUCACUAACCCAGAAAUAGUGCUUCAGGUUAAGAACUUUGCUUCAGGAUGAGAACAAAAAUUGUGCUCCGGUGGCGCAGCAGCGGCAGGAGGCCCCAUUAGCUAAAGUGGUGCUUCAGGUUAAGAACAGUUUCAGGUUAAGUACGGACCUCCGGAACGAAUUAAGUACUUAAUCUGAGGUACCACCGUAUUGGUAUUUGUAGAUUUUCUGAUCCAUUGUGAUGAUGUGUGUGCCGGGUGCUGCAGACCUCUGGCCAGGGACAUUUACAUGAGCAAAUAUCCACCCAUUUAUCUGUUUUAUUUUUGUGUCGAUUUUCUACCCCCCGCCAAAAAAAAAAUCCUUGCUCAAAGCGGCUUGCAACAAAGAAACAGGGAUGUAUUUCAAAUAAACACAACAAAGUCAAUUUCAUAACAACAUAGCAAAACAAUAGCAUCCUAACAGUUUCAUAAUAGCAUAGCAAAACAACAACAACAUCGCAAUGGUUACUAGCCACGGUGAUAGCAACUACCGUAUUUUUCUGUGUAUAAGACUAGUUUCCCCCCCUAAAAAAUAAUAUCAAAAGUUAGGGGGCAUCUUAUACACAGGGCCAUCUCCCCCCAUUUUCUUAAAUCUGAGUCCCCCAAAAUAGGGGGUGUCUUAUAGACAGAAAAAUACGGUAUAUGCAUAUUAUGAAGCAUAAGUGGAGGACUCCUGCAUCCAGGAUGAGCUGCCCCCUUGCAUUUUUUGUAGCCAAUAGUUGUGUAAUUGGCGCUGCUGUCAUUCCAUGAGCUGAAGGGCAAGUUGCUAACCAUUCAGGUCAUGAGGUAAUAAGGUCCAUGAAAUUGUUCUGAUGUCAGUUGUUUUCAGUGAGUUCUAUGCCUGAAUUCUGAACUGCAACUGUACUUCUUCAGGGGAACGUUAUCAUUUUAAAAUAACUUCUUAGUUUCGCCAAAAGGAACUGAAUAUAGUGGUACCUCAGGUUAAGUACUUAAUUCGUUUCGGAGGUCCGUACUUAACCUGAAACUGUUCUUAACCUGAAGCACCACUUUAGCUAAUGGGGCCUCCUGCUGCCGCCGCGCCUCCAGAGCACGAUUUUUGUUCUCAUCCUGAAGCAAAGUUCUUAACCUGAAGUACUAUUUCUGGGUUAGCAGAGUCUGUAACCUGAAGCAUAUGUAACCUGAAGCAUAUGUAACCCGAGGUACCACUGUAUGUCCCCAUUCUUAAGAUGGGACAAUUAAUUGCUCUACACACAUUAAUAGGUUUGAGUCACAGCUUUGUGUUUCUAAGUUUCGGGCCCUAGAUAGGUGGGGGUUGAGUAACCCAUUUCUCCUCCCCCCCUCUCUCAUUCUCUCACUCUCUCUCCAUCCAUCCACAACAUACGCUUAAAAGAGUCAUGGCUUCCCACACAGAAUCCUGGGAACUGUAAUUUGUUAAGGGUGCUAAAAGUAGUCAGCCCUUAUUCCCCUCACAGAGCUACAGUUUCCAGAGCUCCCCAGGAAAGAGGACUGGUUGUUAAACCAUUCUGAGAACUGUAGCUCUGUGAGAGAAAUUGGGAAUCUCCUAACAACUCUAGGAACCUUUAACUAACUACAGUUUCCAGGAUUCUUUGGGGGAAGCUGUGGCUGUUAAAGAUAUAUAAUAGUGCUUUAGGUGUAUUGUAUCAUAUGAGCUCUGUGCUGCAGAGCCCACCAGGAGCCAUAUUGAAGUUGUCUUCCAUCUUGGCUUGCCUGCCUUUAAAUACCUGCAGGCGAGCCUUGCACCCUCCCACUUCCUGUCCUCCUCUCCAGUUUCCUGUAGGAACAUGGCUGGCAUUGCCAUGGUAACAUGGCUGUGCUGUUCCUUCUGCUGGCUUGGCUGAGGCCCAUCAUUGCCAUGGCAAUGGAAGACAUGGUGGCUGUUUUGCCUUUGGCCUAGUGUUCCAGGAGACUCUCUUGGUCCACCAGGAGAGGAUGGAAUUGGGGACAGUACACUUUUUUUUGCUAUACUUGGUGCCACAAAGUUUCAGUUAUCUGCAAAAGGUAACUGCACCGUGCUCUUGUAUGCAUGGGUGUUAUUUUAUCACUGCUAUGCCCCGGGGGUUCUGUACAAUACCCUCCAACAUUUUGAAGCCCAAAUAUGGGAGACCAUCUUCCCAUUCUUUUAACUGUGAGAGCAUGGCUGCCAUUUUGGUUGCUGUGAUCUCGCGUGAUUUCCACUUUUUUUGGGGAAAAUUCUGCUGCAGAAUCCCAGCAACCACAAUGGCUGCCAUUCUCUCACAAUAAAAAACAGAACGUCUUGUUUUUUUCUGGGACACUUGCGCAUAGCUGUCAACUUUCAGAUUUGAAAAUAAGGGAUCAGCAGCCUCGGAAAUAAGGGAUCAGCAGCAUAAGUGUUAAUUUUCGGAUUUGAAAAUAAGGGAUCAGCAGCCUCACCUGUCCCGGGGACAGUCUACAGGAUAUCUAACAAUCCGGGAUAGCAGUGGGAAGCAGUGGGGAAUGGCGCUGGAAUAAGGGAAUUUCCCACAAAAAAAGGGAAAGUUAACAGCUAUGCACUUGCGGGGUAUAUGCUGCUAAUGCAAAUUGUAGUCCAAAAUAUUUGGAGGGCAGCAGUUUGCAGAAGGCUGGAGUAGUAGUGCUGAGAGUGUCUGAUGAGGGCCUGGGACCAGAGAGACCCAAGUUCAAAUACCAAGUCAGCAAUUAAGUGGGUGGCCUUGGGUCAGUUGUCCUCCUCCCUUGCUGAACCCACCUCACAGAAUUUGUUGUAAGGAUGUAAAAUGUAAUCCAUACUAAAGCAAAUAAAUUCCUCCACAUAUGGUGAACCUAACUCAACAUCCUUAAGGGCCAGAAACUGGAAGCAAACAAAAAUAACAACAAUAAUGAAAACUUCACAGGAUGCUGUGUUUUGCUGUUUAUAACACUGUGACUAUGUAGCAUGAUGGAAGAAUCUGUGCAACCUUGAGUGAGUAGCCACUCCUUGUUUCUUUAUUGUUUCCAUUAUUUCUCUAAACAGCUGGCGACCUGAGUUUGGGAAACCCUGGUCUAACCGAUCAAAGUGGAGGUUUGCUUGUGGUUCAGUGUACUGUGAUUACACUGAAUCACAGGUGAAACGGCACAUUGUGCAUUCCAGCUAAGGGAGGUUUGCCUGUUAUUCAGUGUAAUUGCUGAAUAUUUAUUCUCAAAUAUAUUGUAGGCUUAGGAACAUAGAAAUAUAGGAAGCUGCCUUAUGCCAAGUCAGACCAUCUAGUUCAGUAUUGUCAACACAGACUGGCAGCAGCUCUCCAGCAUUCCAGACAUGGAAUCUUUUCCAGUCCUACCUGGUGAUGCCAGGGAUUAAAGCGGGAAUCUUCUGCAUGUGCUCUACCACAGAGCUAAGUUCUAUCCAAAGUCUCUGCGUUCUGUCUAGCACCGAACAACGGUGGUUUUGCAAUUGAUUUCAGCUGGCAGUAGAUUGGGCCCCAGUUUCUUCUUCUUUUUCCCUCAUAGAAUAACAGUGACUUUGCUUGAUGAUGCUCCUUAGGCAUCCAUGUUCCCUAAAGUAUUAGGAAAACAUUAACUUGGAACAUGGUUGUGCAAUUUUGCUUUCUGACUCUUUGACGAAGUGACAAGCUGCCUUUUGUGUGGCUUCGAGUUUGGCAAAACAACCGUCAUCUUCUGGCAACGGCGCUGCUGGGUCAGAAAGUCUGCAAGUGUCUUAUUGCUCCACAAAACCUGAGAGCCUUAACUGGAAGCCUUGCAUGCCAAGUGUCACAUCCUUUAGCCAGAAGAGACCGCGUGAUGUCAAAUGGCUCAUGACUGCCUAAGUUCUGGUCCAUCAAAAGGCUUCAGAAAACUGCUCUGGGUUCAUAGCAGAGGCAAUCAGAAAGAGGGCCACUAACUGACUGCUGAUUCAAGACUUUAAAUUGUGCUCUUAUAUCAAAUUUCCUUUUCUGCGUAUACUGUAAUGUUUUACUGUUGCUAUGGCCAUUGGCUAAUGUGAAUAAAGUUUUAUCUAUCUAAACUGCUCCGGGUGGUUAGAAUUAAAAGUUCAUCCCUGAUCCUGGAUGCUGCUCCAGCAGACACUUCUGUUUCCUCACUCUGCUGAAUGGUAGGGCCAGCUCCUUUAGACAACUGAUGGGCUCUCCUUUCUCCUCACACUAGAUCACACCUCAAGCAGCCUCCUCUGUUUCUGUAUGGGUCAGGUAUACAAUGGCCCUAUCAACAGUUAGGUCCUGCUCAUUUCCUAGGAGAAAGGAGGAUAAUAUGGUGAGAGGAACAGUUUUCUAACUCUAUUGCAGGAGACAAUAUGCCUCUGAAUUGCUGGGUAAAGCAAGUGUGAACAGCGCUGUUCCACUCACAUCACAUUCCCCAUGGGCAUCUGGUUGGCUCUUAACUUUAUGUAUUUCUCCUUGGGCUUCUUGGAGGAAGGUAGAAUAUGUGUAAUUAAUAAUCCGAUUAUAAUCCUGAGCAGCUCCCCACCCCUAUUUCAAAUGGAUGCUCCAUUGUCAGUGUCGCCCAUAAUCUUUUUCUUCUGAGGGUGGUAGGGGUGCAUUAGGACAAACGUGUAAAACAGAAAAAGUUAUGGAUGGUGCUGCAAUUCAGGAACCUCCCGGAAAGUCAGUUUUUAUAGGGGACACUGUGGGGGGAAAAAAAACUAAAUUCCAACUCAUUCUGUUGGAAUGCAGCUCGCUCUUAAAAGUGAAAGCAUGCCCUGACAAUGCCGAGUGGAAGUGCUAGCUGUGAUUUUGUACAUCUUGGCUAUUUAUUACCGUGUUACAUAACAGAAGCGUGAUGGGAAGGAAACACUUUUUUAAUUCCGAAGUCUGAAUAUCUUCCUGGGUUCUGUAGACGCUGGUAGCCUACUAAAGUCCCAGAUUUUGAAACUGAUAUUAACUCUGCAAAGAGCAGAUAAUAUGAAUCUAAUAUCUAAUCCUAAUGGUCUAAUAGGAAAGCUGGUAAUACAGGGUUGGAUCUUAAGAACUGUUUGCAGAAGGAAGGUGGGAGAAGUAGAAGCCCUGUUAAGAACACCUUCUCAACCAUUAAGAGGAAACAAAACUCCCUUGAAAAUCAUUGUGGGGGGGAUAAAUUUCUCUAAUUCUUUUUUGUGUGUGGUGGGGCUGUUGGUGGGGGGCUAAUGUGAGGUAGGGACGCGGGUGGCGCUGUGGGUUAAACCACAGAGCCUAGGACUUGCUGAUCGAAAAGUCGGCGGUUCGAAUCCCUGCGGCGGGGUGAGCUCCCGUCGUUCGGUCCCAGCUCCUGCCCACCUAGCAGUUCGAAAGCACCCCUAAGUGCAAGUAGAUAAAUAGGGACCGCUUUCUAGCAGGAAGGUAAAUGGCGUUUCCGUGUGCGGCGCUGGUCUUGGCUAGCCAGAUGCAGCUUCGUCACGCUGGCCACAUGACCCAGAAUUGUCUUCGGACAACGCCGGCUCCCGGCCUCUUGAGCGAGAUGAGCACGCAACCCUAGAGUCGGUCACAACUGGCCCUGACUGGCAGGGGUACCUUUACCUUUACCUUUAAUAUGAGGUAGCCAAGAGUUUCCCAUUUUUUUCUGACCCCCUGCUGCUUUGAGCAGUGGAAGGCAAUCUCUGCCCUGCUGGCCAUUGGAAUGCACUGGGAAUCUCUUCGCAGCUGAAAUGCAUUGGAAACCACACUACAUUACCUUGUGUUCUCAAGACAGUCCAGGAAGUGUGGUUGGUGGGAAGGAGCACAAGGUUCUCUCUGCAGUUUCCCACCAUCCACGCUUACUGGUGAGACCCAAUGAGAUAAGUGGCGACCUCCUUUGGAAGACUGGAUAAAUUCCAAGCAAAACAGCAGAAAAUUGGUUGCCGAUUUCCCAGGGGGUAAUAUUGUCAGAAAACAGGAGGGAGUGGGAAAUGUUAGUCUCCUGGAUGGGUUCUUCUCUUUCCCUCUGCAUUUCAAGAAGCCUCUCCUAAGGGGCUGAAGACAAAGUUGACUGUGUGGCAUCUAGAAGAGGGAAUGUUUGUAAGCGCUGAGUUCACCUUGACUGUCCAUGAUGUGGACUUUUCUUUGCCCAUCACUAGAGAAACAGCAUAGAACUGCUCACCACCACUGUCUGUGGUCAGCAGAAGCUGCAGAGACGCCAUCAACCAACUUGUCCACAACCCUUGAAAAUGUAUGUUGGGUAAAGGUAAAGGGACCCCUGACCAUUAGGUACAGUCGUGACCGACUCUGGGGUUGUGGUGCUCAUCUCGCUUUAUUGGCCAAGGGAGCCGGCACACAGCUUCUGGGUCAUGUGGCCAGCAUGACUAAGCUGCUUCUGGUGAACCAGAGUAGCUCACGGAAAUGCCGUUUACCUUCCUGCCAGAGCAGUACCUAUUUAUCUACUUGCACUUUGAUGUGCUUUCAAACUGCUAGGUUGGCAGGAGCAGGGACCGAGUUACGGGAGCUCGCCCCGUCGCGGGGGUUCGAUCUGCCGACCUUCUGAUCGGCAAGUCCUAGGCUCUGUGGUUUAACCCACAGCACCACCCGCGUCCUAUAUGUUGGGAGACAAGUCUUAUUUUAUAAACAUUUGAAAAAGGCAAAUAUGGUUAGACCUCCAGUGAUUUUUAAAGGCAACAUGACCUAUGGACACUAUAGGGGGUGGAAAAGAGAUCAGUGGCAGAUCUGCACAUGAUUUGCUGGUUGAGAGUCAUAUGUUCAAACUCUAGUAUUUCCAAUUUUGAGAAAGGCUCUGGUAGCCAGUGACGAGACAGAGAAAGACCUCUGCCUCAGACCUUGGAGAGCUACCAUCUGUCAAAGUGGGCUAGGCUAGAUGGAUAAAUAGUCUGACCUGGUAUAUGGCAGCUUCUUACUUCAGUCCUUGGGUUCUUCCAUGCUGCUUUCGUUGGAUGCUUAGGGAUUUUGUUGGUGUACUUGUCACUAGGUAUGGGCAAAUCUGUCAGUUUUAGCUUCUGUGCCUCUCUUUAUUCUCCCCCCCCCCCACAACACAAUCUUAAAUUCAGUUUGGUACAUACCCAUAUAAGUUUGGAAUAUAUUUUCUUAAAAGAAGUCAUACAAAUUCAGCAGCACUUUUUACUAUGCAAUCCCCCUAAUACAGUGGUACCUUGGGUUAAGAACUUAAUUCAUUCUGGAGGUCCGUUCUUAACCUGAAACUGUUCUUAACCUGAGGUACCACUUUAGCUAAUGGGGCCUCCCCCUGCUGCCGCCGCACAAUUUCUGUUCUCAUCCUGAAGCAAAGUUCUUAACCCGAGGUACUAUUUCUGGGUUAGCAGAGUCUGUAACCUGAAGCAUCUGUAACCCGAGGUACCACUGUAUAAUGCAAUUCUGUAUGUUGUUUCCCCUAAUGUAAUGCAGUUCUUUGUGCUAUUUUCUCCAAUAUAUGCACUUUUAUGCACACAUAUCUGCAUUUUUAUACACUUGGAGAACUGCAUUGUGGAAUUCUGAAAGGUGUGAAUUUAGAAGGUAGCAGUAUGCAUAUUUUUCCUAAAUCAAAUUUCUCUUGUCAUAGCUGCAUGCCCAUCAUGUUUUCUCUCUGAGUUGCUUGCAAAGGUUAUAUCGAUGUUUGUUUUAGCUGCAUUGAUACCCCACCUUUCUGCCAGGUGCUCCAAGUGGUGUAUUUUGGUAUCCAGGUGCUUUCUGAUACUCUCACUUGCUUAGCUUCAACCAGGUGGUUCCAUUCUGUGCAAUCUUCAGACUUCUCCUUCCAGGGGCCAGUGAGGUUGCAUGGCCUCAUGGCCUAUUUUAUUUAGCAGUAAGGAAGAGAGAGGGCAGGGCAGCAGCUGUCUGCAUCCUACGCUAUGACUGUACUUGGAACAGUAAGGGCAUUGAUACUUGUGAGUUGACAGAGUUCACUCCUAGGCUUACAAAUUGCCACUCCUCUGGUUGCCUGGGCAAGUGAGGUUUGCCCCCAGGUGCCCAAAGAUUGGGGACACUUUAGGAUUAGAGAUUGAGGCUUUAUUUUUUAAAGAGCACUAUUGGUGUAGAUUUGUGUUGGGCUAGUAGCAUGCAUGGCGAGACACUCUCUCUUCAAAGAAAAGUCACCACAAAAAUAUCCUAUCCUUCCUCCAUCAUUCUUAGGUAUUGAUAUACUUCUUUUGGUACCUGAAAUGAAAAUUUGAACUCCCGCUGCUCUGCACUUUGUUAAUGAUAAGAGUUGGAGUUAGAAAAUAUCAUGCCCUCUGUAAUAAGCUAUCUAUAGCAAUUGCUUCAGGUUAAAGGCUGCUGGUGGUGGGUGGCGCUGUGGUCUAAACCACAGAGCCUAAGGCUUGUCGAUCAGAAGGUCGGCAGUUCGAAUCCCCGCGACGGGGUGAGCUCCCGUUGCUCGGUCCCUGCUCCUGCCCACCUAGCAGUUCAAAAGCAUGUCAAAGUGCAAGUAGAUAAAUAGGUACCCCUCCAGCGGGAAGGUAAACAGCGUUUCCAUGCGCUGCUCUGGUUUUGCCAGAAGUGGCUUAGUCAUGCUGGCCACAUGACCCAGAAGCUGUACGUCGGCUCCAUCGGCCAGUAAAGCGAGAUGAGUGCCGCAACCCCAGAGUCAUCCGCAACUGGACCUAAUGGUCAGGGGUCCCUUUACCUUUACUAAAGGCUGCUUGGCUUCUUCAAUCCCCCCCCCAGCAUGCAUAUUUGUGGCGGACUUUUGCCUUCUUCUGUCUCCAGCCUGAGACAUGGAUCGAUCUAGAGAUGCUUUGCUAAACUUGUUUUGCCUUCAAUUAUUGAGUGUUGGAUUCCUUGCUCCUUGUUGCUUGGGUGUGAUUAUUUCUUGGACUACUCGCCGCUAUUGCAAGAGCCACUAGGAGUGAUAAAAAGCUACAGUGGUGGGGCAUGGUAGGAAUGUGACAAGUGCCAGCCAGAAGUGUGCAGUCACUGCAAGAUUUGAUUUGCCUCUGUAGCCUUUGGAAGCAGCCCGAUCUGUUUUGGAUCCACUUGGUGUCGUUCCAGUUCAAUUCUUUACUUCGGUCCUCAUCUGGUCUGCUAAAUCCAAGCUCUGUUUCAUGUCCACUAUGAGUAUAAUGUGGAAUCUAAGUGUGGAUAUAGCUUGCUUUCCUUUUCCCAUUUGAAACUUGUAGGCAAGGCAGCACAAGGGAAACCCCACAUAGAGCACAUUUUUUCAUUCAAACUUGACCACUGCUUUGAUAAGCUUGUGACAAGCACUAUAUAAAUACUGCAAAAAAGCAACGAACAGGAAGAAAGAAACCCAUUUUGUUGCCAGGGUUGCAAUAUCCAAAUGAUGGCGUUAACCCACAAAGUGAAAAAAAACAACCCCAGAAAACAACCUUGGCAAAUCUGCUGUCUUUGUGCCUGAAUUCUGCUGCUGGAUGCGGCCACCACAUUUGAUCACCACAGAAGAUCCAUCCAUGCACCUUCUAAAACUGUAUGGGAAAAAAUGACAUACCUGCCCUUCAGAGGAGCACACCUGAAAAAUGAUCCUAAAAGCUUGAAAAUAAUAAUUGUGCAGUCAAAGUCCCUUACUGCCCUACACAAGCUUGUAAUUUUGCACAGGGUGCCACAUUUGCCAUCUUGGGGUAAGGAGAGAUGCCCUUUCCAGGAUACUCCAUUUCUGUUUCCCCUCCCUGCAGUGGACACAUGGUGUUAGUCACAAGCUGUUUUUAGGAUCUCCCCACCCCCUGUUUUGUUUUUAAUUUCUUUUGGAGGGGUUACUUUUGCAAAUCUUGGGAUUCGUUCAGAUCUUCUGACACUCCCCUCUUGUGCCAUUUUUGGCUACAGAAGGGUCAGUGUUUGGAGACUUGAGUUUGCUAUUGGGACCUAUGCAUUAAGGACGCUGUAGCCCUCAUACAAUGGCAACCACUUCCGGAGGGUCCCACGACCACAUUUUAGCAUUUUAAAAUCACGACUAAGCGCUGAAGCUGUUUUAAGCCGCUUAAGCCAACCUUAAACCCCCAGAUCAGCUAAACAGCUUGUACCAAUAAAAUGGCUUAGAGUUUCCUAAGCACCUUAAACAGAUCUAAAGCUUUAGUAUAAGACUGUGACCAAACUAGAGCAUGGUGUUUAGUUUCUCAGUGACACCAGAGGGCCUUACCCAGCUAAGCCAACUAAUUACAGAACUGAGACCCUCUCCACUGGGUUUUUAAAGGCCAGAUGCUUAAUCAACCAAAGGGAUGCAAAUACACAUUGCAAGUCUAUAUACGUGCUUAACCCAGCCCCAUAUUUAACUGCAGAAGUAGCUGAAUGUUGCAUAGGGUUACAAAUUCUCUAGGAGCGCACUGUUGGCCACUGUGAGAACUAGAUUCGGUGACUAGAUAGGCCUUUGGUCUGAUUCAGCAGUGCUCUUCUUAUGUCAUGUUCUUAAUAGUCCCUGGCAAAGACUUGGGCUCUGAAGCUCAAGCUUUCUGCUUCCAACAGCAGCCAGUCAAGUGCCUAUGGGAAUUCACAAUGCAGACUUUGAGCCAAUGCCUACUUCCUGGCCUUUGUCCUUUUCACCUGGUAUUUGGAGAUAGACUCCCUGUGAAUAUGGAGGCUCUAUAUAAACUCUUGAGGCGGAUAGUCUUUUUGAGAGACCUGUCCUCCACGAAUCUGUCCGGUCCUUUAAAAAAGCCAUCUAACGUAAUGCCAUCGCUGUAAGUUAAUUAUUCACUGUCUGAAGUAGUGCUCUUUUGUCAAUCCUGAAUGUGUUGUCAAUUAACUUAAUUGAGUGACUGAGAGCUGUGGUGUGAUGAGAGAGGGAGGAAAAUUUCUCUAUGUGCUGUCUGAGGGCUAGCCAUAGCCUUAAAAACCUACAUAAUACCUCAGUUUUGUUUUCCUCCCUGUUGUAUCUGUACAUUAUUGUUAUGAUUAAUUAUUAUUUGGCGUUGUUUGGCCAAAAGGACCCCAAAGCUGUGAAAAUAUAUAUUAAAUUACACGCAGCAGUUCUCAACCUGUGGGUCUCCAGAUGUUGUUGGACUACAACUCCCAUCAUCGCUGAGCUCUGGCCUUGCUAGCUAGGGGUGAUGGGAGUUGUAGUUCAACAACAUCUGGGGACCCACAGGUUGAGAAAGGUUGAAUUGCAGUAAAAGCAUGAUAUUAUAAAUAUAUCUAUGCAUUACAUUUAUAUUCCCCCUUUUCCUUCAAGUUGGGGAGUUUCUCCCCCUUUCCAUUUUAACCUUACAACAACCCUGUGAGGUAGAUGGCGACUGGCCCAAGGUCACCCAGUGAGUGUUUAUAGCUGAGUGGGGAUUUGAACUGUUGUCUGCUAGGUCCUAGUCCAGCACUCUUAACUAUCAAACUACCCUGACUCUUUCUUUCACUUUAAACAGUAAUAAUGCAGUAGAUCAACCAUUAAUCAAACACACGAAUGUAAGGUGACACUAUCAGGAGAUAAGAAUAAAAUACACUCCCCCGAUGCAUCAGAAAGUGAGGAGGGACUAAAAAACUCCCCCACACCAUAGCCUUUGCAGUGUCAUCAGAUAUGUAUCUACUUAGUCCCAUUGAGUUCAUUGCAGGAGGGCUGCAGGUUAGUGGUAGAUCACAUGUUUUGCAUGCAAAAGGUCUCAAGACUCAAACCCUGGAGUAGGGGAUUCCCGGGAAUAUCCCCUGCCCAAAAUCUUGAGGAGUUGCUGUCGAUCAUUGUCAACAAUAUUGACGACUGGGGAUGGGGGGCGGGAAGAGACAUUUGAUUCUGUUCAUGCUGAAAGGCAAAUAUAUCAAAGCUGCACUUUUCAAAACAGUAGGAGAACUGAAACACAGCUGUCCUUCAAAAUUUGCACUGUUACGAAUUUUGCGAUGCAGCUCUGGAGCCGAACAGUCCUUACAGAAAUGCAUCUGCUAGGUAAAAGGUAGGGGGGGAAAUGAAAGUUUAGUGAAAAUGGCUUACAGAAAUGCAGGGUAUUAGGGGAAAUUGCUUGUAAAAAUGUAUGCACACACAAAAAGGGGUUAUUAGAAAAAAAUUGUGCUAAAAUACCGAAGAAACUUCAUUAGGGUUUUCUUUGGGGGGAGCGAAAAUCACAAAUUGCUGCAGAAAUGUGGAGAAUGGAAUUUAAGAUGGGGGGUGGAAAUAGAAAUUGAGAGAACCAGAAUUCACAGAGCCUUACACUCCUACUGAAGAUUAGAUUGACCAGUGGUUUGACUUGGUAUCCGGCACCUUCAUAUACAAUGAACGCUUGGGUUUGCGAACAUGAUCUGUGCGAGAGGCACGUUCACAACCCGCAGCGUCUGCAACCCACAGUAACGCGUCUGCGCAUGCGUGGGUUGCGAUUCAGUGCUUCUGUGCAUGCGCGAGCGCCAAAACCUGGAAGUAACCCGUUGUGGUACUCCCGGGUUUUGGCGUGCCUGUAACUCAAAAACACGCAACCUGAAGCGUCUGUAACCCGAGGUAUGACUGUAUUCUAGUAAGCCCAAAUCCCAGAAAAGUAUGUGUGGGAUUGUGACCAGAGUUGGCCCUGGGUGAAAUAGCGCUCUGGACUGGGAGUGCCUUUGGCACUCAUCACCCCCCACCUCACCCCGGUCACUUUUGCAGUAUUCCCAAGUUGUGUGACUUCUGCAGAUUGCGAAACCUAGCAGUGUGAAAGAGAGGCCCUACUGGUCUCACGAGAUGCCCUGCAAUACAUAGAUGAUGCCAAUUUGGAAAGACGCUGUUCAUCUGGGCAGCACUACGAACUCUCCUGACAUUUCCAGAUACAGUUGUCAGUGGUGAGGGUGCUUCCUCAAACUUGAAGCUCAUCAAAAUGUACUGGUUAUCUGUUAUGGCGGGCGAGAGGCUCGCAUCACAAGAUAGCCAAUCCAUUCUGACUGACAGCUCCUGAAACCUGUUUUUCUCAGCCACUCAGCUGCAGUUUGCACACACCAAAGCCUUACAAGUUCACUUUCUGCAUGGGGUUAUUGCACUAGGGCAGUGGUGGGGGAAAGCUUUGGCAUGCUAGAUGCUGCUGAACUAAAACUCCCAUCGGCCCCGGCAAGCAUGGUCAAUGUUCAGGGAUGACUGGAGUUGUAGUUUAUCAACAUCUGGAGGGUCAAAGGGUCUCCACAUCUGCACUAAGCAAGACGAUGGAACGAUUGCAGGUUUUACUUUUGCUUAGUUUUGUAGCAAUCACUUUUUGGAAGCAUUCUUUAUUUCAGGAAAUCCAUCACCCAAGAUAGCAACAUUUUCAUCUACAAUUUAUUUUAACGUUAUCCCAUGUUCAUGCCUUCCCUGCUGAGUUAUAUGGAAGUGUUAGUUAGCUGCUGUUUAUCAUUUUAGACAAGGUAGAUUGACAGCCUUGACAAAGUUUGUUUUUUGCAAUGAAACAGUUUUAUUUUUUAUUAGAACUAAAGACAACAUUCCCCAUCACUUCAGCAGGGUAUUUUGGAUUUGUUACAUUAUUUAUCUUCAUAAUGUGGACAAGGUGGCUGCAUUUUUAUCUUUGAAAAUAAUAAAUAAAUGUUAUAAAGGAAAUAAUUUUGAAAUUGGUCUCUUAGAGCUCUCUCUCUCUCUCAUUAUUGCUGCUUGGUCAUGUCAACUCAGUCAACCCAUGUUCCGCUAAUUUUUAACAAAAACGAAACAGAAAUGUUCUAUUAAAUAUAUACAGUGUGUGUGUGUGUGUGUGUGUGUGUGUGUGAGAGAGAGAGAGAGAGAGAGAGAGAGAGAGAGUAUAUACACUAUAUAUAUAUAGGUCAAACUUAUGGAGGGUGUCUUAGGGACUGUAGGAUGCUGUGGAUCUCUGGGGCAAAGAGGGAAGUCUCUUCUUGGAUGCUUUUCUAUAUUUCUGGCAGAGAGCUCUGCCACUGUUGACCUUUGGCCAUCUUUAUUUCUGGGGAUGUAGCAGGGGAACAUUUAGAGCCAUGCAGUGCAAGACAGUUACCUUUUCUGGAUUUCCUCCUGCACCAUUGCAGAUGAUCAGCCCUGCAACUGGUUUACUGAUUUCCCCUUCCACUAGAACAAAUGGAAGAGAGAAAAUACUGCCCAAGAAAGCAGAAAAGGUUAAAAAGCCACCCCACCUCCCUCGUUGGUGAUCACCUGUCCAGGAUUUGGACUUUGUGGUUCUUUCCUUGUCUUGUUGAAGUUCAUAUUGGAGAUUAGUAUCCAGACAACUUGCAGAUGAGGAGUGGAGAUGUUGGAUUAUCGUCCCUGACCAUCGGCUAUGUUGACCAGGUGGAGGGCUACAGUUUUCCCACCCCCGCUGUAGAGGUUUUUUGUGUGUGUGUUUUGGUUUUGAAUACCCUUCUUUCUUCACUCUGUCUCUUUGCAAAAAGUACACUCAACCAGCAACGAGCUCAGCUUGCCACCUCUGCCAGUUUGGUACCGAGGGUGAGCGGCCAGCCCUGAUUGGCGCUUUAGAGUUGAUGGAUUGGAAAGUGGUCUAAUCCUCUGAUCAUUCUUUUAAAAGUUGCUUUAAUAAUUUAAUAAUAAUAAUUUAUUAUUUAUACCCUGCCCAUCUGGCUGGGUUUCCCCAGCCAUUCUGGGUGGCUCCCAACAGAAUAUUAAAAACAUGAUAAAAGAUCUGACAUAAAAAAAUUCCCUAAACAGGGCUGCUUUCAGAUGUCUUCUAAAAGUCAGAUAGUUGUUUAUUUCCUUGACAUCUGAUGGGAGGGCGCCACUACCAAGAAGGCCCUCUGCCUGGUUCCCUGUAACCUCACUUCUCCCUUUUGUUUACCUCCUUCAGCUAUGCAAUACUGUUUUUGAGAUGGGGUAACCGGAACCGAACGCAGCAUUCUAAAUUUGGCUGGACACGAAUUUAUAUAAUGGCAACAUACUUGCUGUAUUUCACUGCAAGAAGAGGCAGCGUAAUAAACGCUUUCUUGAAAUGAGCUAAAAAGGGCAUCUCUUCCAUGCAAGUCACAGUGAAGAAAGGAUAGUUGGAUAGAAAUUCAUUAUGCUGUAUUAUUGGUCAGCUAUGACUGGCAGUGCUAGAAGAUGCAGUAUUAGUGCAUGCCAAUAGCAGAUGUUGGGGAAAAAAGGUUCUCCCUACCUCAGGUUAAGUAUUUCUCAAUCUGUAAAAUGAAAAGAGAUGUAUUGCAAUCAGAAUGGUUGGACACUGAUGUCUGGGAAAUGUACCUGAACUGAUUUUUAUUUUUAAAAUAUAGAAGAACUGAAUGUGAAGCCAGGUGUUUAAUAGUUGGACCUUGCAUGGGGAUCUCAGGGCCAAUAUGACGCUGUGUGUGUGUGUGUGUGUGUGUGUGUGUGUGUGUGUUUUAAACCCACCUCCUAGCAUUCAAGCCAUCUGUUUUCCAUGUUUAAAAUCCAACAGAUGGAGAGUGCUGCUAGAGAUGGAUGGAUCUGUCAAUUUCAGUCCUCUCAGUUUAUGAUUCCCCCCCAGUCUUACAUUCAGCUCUCCACAUUUCCACAGCAACUUGUGAUUAUUAUUAUUUUUUAAAAAUACCCCCAAUCCUCUAGUGCUUUAGUGUAGAUUAUUCCUAAAAUCACAUUUUUGUAUACACUUGCACAUUUUCGCAACAAACAAGAAAGCAUUUUGGUACGUUGUUCUUACACAUAUAUUCAUUUUUAUGCACACUUUUACCUAAUGUGUGCAUAUAUGUAAAGAUUUUUGGGUUUGAGAAGUGCAUCACAAAUUUCUGGGUAUGUGCAGUUUCGAAGGCUUGCUGUUCUCAUUGCAUUUUGCAAAAGUGGAAAUCUGAUAGAUUCAGUUUUAAAUAUAAACUGAAUUGAAUUUCUCUCCUAUUCCCCAUGCCCAGCCAUACUUGCUGCUGUUCCAAAUGGGCCUGUCCUCUCUUCUUAGCUCUGUAGGCAUACAUCCAUGCCUUAUAUAAAACAAAAUCCACCUAACAAUAGCAUAAUGCCUAGUAUUUUAGUAUACAGUGGUACCUCGGUUUACGAACUUAUUCCGUUCCAGAAGUCCGUUCUUAAACCGAAACUGUUCUUAAACCAAGGCACGCUUUCCCUAAUGAGGCCUCCCACCGCUGGUGCCCUUCUACCAUUCGGAUUGCGUUCUUCUUCUUCUUGUUUAGUCGUUUAGUUGUGUCCGACUCUUUGUGACCCCAUGGACCAGAGCACGCCAGGGACUCCUGUCUUCCACUGCCUCCCGCAGUUUGGUCAAACUCAUGCUGGUAGCUUCGAGAACACUGUCCAACCAUCUCGUCCUCUGUUGUCCCCUUCUCCUUGUGCCCUCCAUCUUUCCCAACAUCAGGGUCUUUUCCAGGGAGUCUUCUCUUCUCAUGAGGUGGCCAAAAUAUUGGAGUCUCAGCUUCAGGAUCUGUCCUUCCAGUGAGCCCUCAGGGCUGAUUUCUUUAAGAAUGGAUAGGUUUGAUCUUCUUGCAGUCCAUGGGACUCUCAAGAGUCUCCUCCAGCACCAUAAUUCAAAAGCAUCAAUUCUUCGGCGAUCAGCCUUCUUUAUGGUCCAGCUCUCACUUCCAUACAUCACUACUGGGAAAACCAUAGCUUUAACUAUACGAACCUUUGUUGGCAAGGUGCUCGAGGUAAAGUUUGCAAACCGGGACAAUUCUUCCGGUUUUGCGGAGUUCGUAAACCGAAACAGGACUGUUCUUAAACCGAGGUACCACUGUAUAGCUGUCUUACGUUUCCAUUAGCCAGCCCCGGCAGUCUACAAAAUUCCCUUUGGACAGCAGUUACUACAAUCCAUUAUAAAAGCAUAGCAAAUAAGGAUUUUCCCAUGGAAGAGGAUUCCUGAUGAGAACUUGUGAGACCCUGGAUGCAGUCCCCACUUUGGCUACUGCCAGUUAAAGCUCUUUGACGGUCCAUGCAGAAGGCUGUGAUCCAGGGUUUUUUUACAGCAUUUAAGCACAGUUUCAUUAUUCGGAAAUCCGAUCCCUUGAUUUCAAAGCAUAAAAGAAACAGAGAUUCCUUAAAAAGCUGUUUACCCUGAGGGUCCAUACUUUUUUGGGGGUCUGAAGAGUCCCAAGUCCAUUUACAAAUCUGGAGGAAGGCAUGAGUCCAGCUUCCUUUGGCUCCAAGCACAUGUUUCCAGUUAGGUGGUAGAAACAAAACAAGACAAAAAGCAGCAAACAAGAAUGGGCCAAUCCAAGAUCUUUCAUACCUCCAAAAAGAGAUUCAGGCAGAAAAACGAAAAUAUAAAAAUAAAAAAUAGAGCCCUAUACAAUAUCAUCACCACUUACCUGUCUUUCACUCUCAGGUUCCAGGGCAGGUUACAACAGUUGAAACACAGUGUUGAAAACAGUUUAAAAUAGGCUGCAGCCAAAGAAAUAAGGUGGGACCUAAAACAUGGGUUGCUUCUGAUGCUUCAUGAAUAGGGCUGCUGAUGGAUGGGAUAGCUGAUGGAUUAGCUGAUGGAACAGAUAGAUAAACUGUUGAAAAACAGUUUAUUUUGACUACUUAAACUUAAAUAACACGCGGUUUGUUGUUAUCUUUUAAGAAUUCCUGUUAAUACUGGUGCCUUAUUUGAAGGUGACAAGCAUCCACUUACAAGAGACAGUUUGUACUGUCUGUGAUGGAUAGAAAUUGGAAGGGUUACAUCUAUCUAUCUAUCUAUCUAUCUAUCCAUCUAUCAUCUAUGAACUGUUAAUUUUUCUGAUUCGGAAAUUUAUGUGGAUUCCAUUGAGUAAAAGCCACACAACUGAUUGUCUACUGCUGCAAUCCCAUUUACAGUGGUACCUCGGGUUAAGUACUUAAUUUGUUUCGGAGGUCCGUUCUUAACCUGAAACUGUUCUUAACCUGAAGCACCACUUUAGCUAAUGGGGCCUCCUGCUGCCGCCGCACCGCCGGAACACAAUUUCUGGUCUCAUCCUGAAACAAAGUUCUUAACCUGAAGCACUAUUUCUGGGUUAGCGGAGUCUGUAACCUGAAGCAUAUGUAACCUGAAGUGUAUGUAACCUGAGGUACCACUGUACCUGGGAGGAAGCCCCACUGAAUUCAACAGGGCUCACUUCUGAUUAGACAUCAUUAGGAUUGUGCUGCAAAAUUUAUUUUAAGCAAGUGAGCUUUGGAUACCACAUGGCAUUUUCUUUAAAGAACUAUUUUUCUUUAAAAAGUAAUAAUACAAUAGGCAGGUAUCUAUCUUUCCCCCUUUCAUAUUUACUGGUAAUUGCACAAGUAUUGGGAGGGGGGAAUUCCCACAGAAAACCACUGGAUAUUUGGGCCGUAAAACUGAAGCACAUAAGUACUAUUAAAAAUCCCAGCUGUUGGAAGUUUCCAUUUUGGCUUUCUUACCUCUGAAAGAAAUUGGUCCCUCUUGUCUGUGGUACUCCAAGAAAGACUGGCAAUGAUUUAUUACCUAGAGUUUUCCAUUCCUUUUCAGUUCUGGUGUGUAAUCUCUCAUGCUUUAAUUGUAAGCAUGUUUACUUGGAAUUGGGUCCUAUUAACUCAGCAGAAUUUUAUUCCAAGUAAGAUCUUGGCUGCAGAUUGAGAGAUUUGUGUUGACGUGCACCUCCUGUUUCCUUUGUUGCUGUCUUGUCUAGUGUGCACAUUACAGUCACAAUAACAAGAGUAAGAGCCUGCUGGAUUGGACCAAUGGCCCAUCUAGUCCAGCAUCCUAUUCUCCCAGUUGGCCAACCAGAUAUGUAUAGGAAGAGCUAAAGCAUGAUCUACAUGAUCUACUCAUUUGUGAUUCCCAGCAAAUCAUGACUUCGAAUGAGCGUGUGGGUUCCUGGAGAGGAGAUUGUCGCUGUUGCACUCCUCUGAUCUUCCUGCAGCUGUGACAUUGGGCUCAUGGUCUUUCUCGCUCUAGACAAACCACAAGUUGUAAGUAAGCUCUUUGUUCUUGGAAUUGCUACUUGUGGUUUGUCUGGAGCAUCACAAUUCUAGGUUUUGAUGAAAUGAUAAACUAAACCAUGGUGUGAUGGCCUAGGACUUGGGCUCGGACUUGGAGCCAGAGGAGUCUCAGUCCGCACCAGAUCCUCUGCCUCAGACGGCAUCUGAACCUAGUCUGGGGCCUGAUUCUGAAGAGCCCCAGUCUGCACAGGUUCCCCUGCAGCAAGCACCAACUGGGCCGAGUCAGGGGCCUGAGCCUGCCCUGGCUCCAGAUGCGGGGAUUACCUCGUUGCCCUCUGCUGCUCCACUACCAGUUGGGUCAGGAGAGGCUGAGGCGGCCUCUGGGUCUAGUAACCCACUGACAUCUCCCGAGUUGCAGAGACUCAGGUCUGAGAGAAGGAGAGACCUGAGUACUCGCAGGAGGAGUGCUCGCCUUUGGGCGAGACAGGGAAGUGAGUCACUGGGGGAUCAGGACUGGCCGUUAUCCCAACAGAGAUAAAAGGCUGCCGGACCCCGCCCCAGGUUGCGAAAGCAACAUUGCUGCUUGCUGGAACCUGCCUGAAACCUUGUGCCUGACCUAGCCUUGUUUCCUGCCUUGGCCCUGUUGGACUGACUCCUCGUGGAAUCCUUGGAUUCGGGACCAGACCUGGACCGCGUGGCUCGGGUUAGCCCCCCGUGCCCAGGACACAUGGCUUGCCUCACAGCAAUGUAGCUGCAGUAGGAUGAGAAGAGGAGCAAAGCAGCUGUGAUCUCCUUCCUGGGAACUUGCAUGUUCCUGCUAAGCCAUGGGCUGUGUGGUGGGGGUGGGGGAGGGAGGACAGGGAGAAACCAUCACUGCCACUAAGGUAGACACGAAGGUUGGACUAGAUGAAUUUUGGUGUCCCUUCCAACUCUCUGAUUCUAAUGCCUCCCUCCCACCUGAACUACUGAGUUGGUUUGGCCCCUCCACCUUUCCAGAUGGGGAGGGAAACCAAGCAGACUCUACACCAGUGUGGUGUAGUGGUUAAGAACAGUAGACUUGUAAUCUGGUGAACCGGGUUUGAUUCCCUGCUCCUUCACAUGCAGCUGCUGGGUGACCUUGGGCUAGUCACACUUCUCUGAAGUCUCUCAGCCUCACUCACCUCACAGAGUGUUUGUUGUGGGGGAGGAAGGGAAAGGAGAAUUUUAGCCACUUUGAGACUCCUCAGGGUAGUGAUAAAGCGGGAUAUCAAAUCCAAACUCCUCCUCCUCCUCCUCCUCCUCCUCCUCUUCUUCUUCUUCUUCUUCUUCUUCUUCUUCUUCUUCUUCUUCCCCAAUGCGACACCCCUUCAGUUUCCGGCUUGCAAAUUAGACUGCUCAACUUGGGGAUGGACAGUUUGAGACAUGUCUCUUAAAUAGAAACAUGAUUGUUCCCCGCCAUCUGCGACACACUGGAGGGCACGCUAGCCUAGGAAGGGGGAAAGCAAAGAAGGACGAUGCCAAAACCAAUGGCAGGAUCUUUCAGCCCCAUCUCCUGCUUUGUAAGCUCCCUGUUAUAUUUAUUGUGGAGGUGAGGGCGGUGCAGCCUGUUUACCCUUGUGCGCAAGCAUUUAAUGUCCACGCUACAGAGAUUUCUGUGGUCCUCCGGUGUGAAUGCAGAAUUGUUUUUGUCGAGUCCUCUUCUCCUGCGUGGAGGUGGCAGAUGAGGGGGGCGGCAGUGGAAGUGAACAACAUGUUGCCUGAAUGGCAUGUGUCCUGGGGGAGCCGUCCGAUGUGGUUGACUCAAGCCUAGCUUCCUUUGCAUCAGACUGAAGGUCCAGACCCCUGGUUCAAAGCAAAUAAAUUUACCUUUCUGUUGGAAGGCUGGCUCCAAGGAGGCUUGGAUUAACUUUACUAGCAGUGUCAACACGCUGCAGCUGAGUAAAUCAUAGCUCAACAAGAACAGCAUCUUCAUUUUCAAAAUUAGCUCUAUUACCAUUUUGAGUGGGGAGAAAUAAUUUAGGGGGUUUGUUGGACCAGGAUAAGAAGUGUGCUUUGAUCCUCUUCUACAGAUGUAGAGCGGCAUUACAGUGUUCUGAACGAAACUGGCUUAUACUGAUUCACUGCCCAUUUGAAAGGAGUGAAUUAUGGGGAGCAAUUUUGGUGGGGUGUUUUUGUGUGUGUGUGAUUUUCUAAAGGAUUCACGAGGUGGGCAGGUUUACCAUUGUUGGCAAUACUGGCAUGGUCUCUUUCUCUCUAAUUCUAAAGCUGCAACAUGAUCGCAGAUACUCCAUGUUAUGCUGCUUCAUGGCGAAAGCGUUGUCUGCUUGCAGAUGAAGGUGGGGUAUUAAAGGAAGGAGGGCUGAACUACAGAGAGGGCAAUGAAGUGUUCCAGAUAGUAUUUCUUAUAACAACAACAACAAUUUUAUUAUUUAUAUGCCGCCCAUCUGCUGGUUUGCUCCAGCCAAGCACCCACAGCUUCCCAGAGAUGGCGCCUAUGGUUCUAUUGAUUUUUAAAAGAUCUUAUUAUAGUUGGAUCAAAUGUGUGUCAGUGAAGGAUCACUGGCAUUUCCUGAAACGUAUGGCCAUUUCAGACUGUUUGUGUUUUGGGGUGGGAUUCGAUCAUUUGCUGAAAAUGUAGGUGGCGAUCAGGUGCAACAAACCUGCUUUCCCAAAAGAUAGAGUGGUUUUGCAACAAGGGAAGUGACGAGAAAAUGUGCUGGAAAGUUUGGGAUAAUACUUACCGGUACAUUGGCACAGUGUCAUCUAACCUCCCUGCAAAACAAAUCAGAAUGAAUGCAUUGAGCAGCCAACGUCGUUUAAUCUCCAAACAAAUCAGGAUGAAUACUGGAUUUAAAUAGCUUGUGUGAAAGCACUUAUAAUGCUUUCCUAAAAAAAAGAUCUACAGUGGCUCUCAGUACAUUUCCAAGCACAAGUCACAGUAUUUGUGCUGACCUUAAAAGCUUUGGCCCUGAAUACCUGAAGGAGCAUCUCCACCUCCAUCAUUCAGCCUGGACACUGAAGUCCAGCUCCAAGGGCCUUCUGGUGGUUCCCUCAUUGCAAGAAGUGAGUUUACAAGGAACCAGGCAGAGGGCCUUCUCGGUGGUGGCGCCCGCCCUGUGGAAUGCCCUCCCAUCAGAUGUCAAGGAAAUAAACAACUAUCUGAUUUUAGAGGACAUCUGAAAGCAGCCCUGUCAGGGAAGUUUUUAAUGUUUGAUGUCUUACUGUGUUUUAAUGUGUUGGAAGUUGCCCAGAGUGGCUGGGAUAACCCAGUCAGAUCAGAAUAAUAAUAAUAAUAAUAAUAAUAAUACAGUGGACCCUCGGGUCACAUUACCUUCAGGUAACGUAACUUUUGGGUUCCGAACGCAGCAAACCCGGAAAUGGUUUUGGCGCUCGCGCAUGCGCAGAAGCACUCUAUGGCGCUGCGUGCAUGUGCAGAACAGGCACCUCCGGUUACGAAAAUUUCGGGAGACUGCCGGGCCUCCAGAACAGAUCCCAUUCAUAACUGGAGGUACCACUGUAAUAAUAAUAAUAAUAAUAAUAAUAAUAAUAAUAGGUGUGUUUGUUUUGCUUUGCUUUCUGUCCAUUGCGUAGCUGGUAUGCUGUGCUGUGCUGGCCGCAUUGCAAAAAGUUACUUUUCAUUGCAUUUCAAUAAGUUCUGGUUGCUUCCCACGAGAGGCUGGUCCUCAGUGCUUUGCACAGUUCUUUGGUGCUUCUCUGCGCGAGUGUGACUCCUCUUGUCAAGCCUGUUUUUGCUGUCACUGUGGCUCGCCUGUUGCCAGGGCAGCGACGAGCUGCACAAUGACUUGGGGUGGUGGAAGGUCUGCAUUCGAGAACUCACUUUGAUCGGCGGGCCGUGAGCCAGGAAGGGAUUUAGGUGAGCCACGGGCUGGCUCCCUUGUGUUGGGGGAGCAGCGUGACCCCGCACACAGAGCAGGCAUCUAGCCUGGCUGGCUGGCUGGCCGGUUCCCUGCUCUUGGCAUCCUCAGCGUUACAGAGUCCUGCUCAGUGAUCCCUGCGUGAUACUGAGCUCUGCCCCUCUGGUUAGUGGAAGGAGUGUUGGUAACAGUAGUUGGCGGCUGGAGGGGGAGAGGCAAGUGGUGGCAGAUGUUGCUAAUGCCAAAAGCUUCACAAACAGGAUUAGGCAAGCCGGGGCUAUAACUACUCCAGCUGUGCACAGCUGUAGCUGAGCUUUCACAACAAGCUGCUCCCCCCCUUUUUUUGAAUUGGGAACUAAUUUGGCAAAGGGUUCUUUUCCCUGCUGUGAAUUUUAAGUUGCCUGUAAGGCUGUGGAGGGAAUGCCGGAAAGGCAGCCAUGCCUUGUGCUUUGUGGAAGCUUGCAAUCCACUUUCUUUUUUUUAAAGGCAGCGCUUUGCAAGAUGGGCAUUCUCUGUUUCUCCAUGUUUGCUUUGGGAGGGGGAAUUAUUGUCUUCCUGUUUUACCCUUUUCCCUUAUUUAAAGGGCAAGGCGUGAACUGCCCAGGAUACUGAGCAUUCCAAGUUUGUUCAUGUCAUUGUAGUUUUUGCUGUGUGUGCGCAAAUUAACUUCUGCGUCUGCUACCUUCUCUUACUUUUAUAUGGUCAAAAUUUUGUUUUGUAGUUGUCCAAGGACUAGAAGCAAUUAAAUGAGUCUGAUCUGAUCUCUUUUACACAGUAGGACAAAAAGGCAUAUAUUUCUCUCUCUCUCUCUAUAUAUAUAUCUAUAUCUAUAUAUAUACUGUUGCUUUUAUUUGUAUUUCAUUUAAAUAUUUCUAGCUGACCAGCUUUUAGGGCAAAGGAUCCACAAACUGACUUUUGUAAAACACAAUAUAGUAUUUAUUUAUUUCGUAAGUUUUAUACGCUGCUUGAUUGUAAAAUAAAUAAACUCCUGAAGCGGUUUACCAAAAACAAAAAACAGACAAACAAACAAUAAAAUGACAUUUGAAAAGAAAUAAUCUUAAACAUUCAUAAAUUAAAACCAGCAGAACCGGAGUGGGUGGGGCAACGCAGUCAGUUGGGUGACAUAUUAAUAAUAAUAAUAAUAAUAAUAAUAAUAAUAAUAAUAAUAGAUUAAAGCACACAUCAGCAUUCUAGAUAUUGGAGUAGGCUUAUCUAAACAUAAAUGUUUUUAGCAGACACUGAAAGAAAGUACCGUGAAGGCACCUGCUUGAUUCUAAUCUUCAGGGAGUUCCAAAAUGUAGGUGCUCCUACACUAAUAUGUUGUUUCAAGAAAAUGCAGCCCUUUAAGAAGCAGCUGAAAGCGAUUCACAAACCAGUAGCACACCACCAUAUGUUUAUGAAAACAAUCUGAAUCCAACACAGCACUAUUAUUCUUCCUGGGAGUUGCAGUCCAAUAUAUCUGGUGGGUACCAGGUUGAGGAAGAAUGCUUUAGCUUGUCCCCAUUGUGGCCAAUUUUUUCCACUUCUGCUCCAUGAAUUUUAUCAGUUUCCCCUGCCUUUUUAGAGAUGUCUAAACUGGUGACCAUCAUAGAAUCAUGGAAGUGGGAAGGGACCCCAGGGGUCAUCUAGUCCAACCCCCUACAAUGCAGGAUUCUCAACUAAAGCAUCCAUGACAGAUGGCCACCCAGCCUCUCCUUAAAAACAUCCAGGGAGUCUGCCACCUUCUGAGGGUGUCUGUUCCACUGUCAAACAGCUCUUACUCUUGCUGUCAUCACAUUAAAAAGGUAAAGGUAAAGGACCCCUGACAGUUAAGUCCAGUCGUGGCCAACUCUGGGGUUGUGGCGCUCAUCUCGCUUUAUUGGCCGAGGGAGCCGGCGUACAGCUUCCGGGUCAUGUGGCCAGCAUGACUAAGCCGCUUCUGGCGAACCAGAGCAGCGCACGGAAACGCCGUUUACCUUCCCGCCGGAGCGGUACCUAUUUAUCUACUUGCACUUUGAUGGGCUUUUGAACUGCUAGGUUGGCAGGAGCAGGGACUGAGCAACGGGAGCUCACCCCUUCAUGGGGAUUCGAACCGCCGACCUUCUGAUCGGCAAGUCCUAGGUUCUGUGGUUUAACCCACAACGCCACCCGCAUCCCACAAUGCCCCUUAAAAUAUACAAAAACAAGGAACUGGUCCUUUCCUGCACCAUGCAAAGCUCACAUAGUAUGUAGCCAGCUCCCACACCUCUGGACACAUUUUGGCAAAUUCAAAAAAUUCGCCCGGACAGAAAUUUAACCCCUGAAAAAGAGGACAUGUCCUGGAAAAAGGGGACGCGUCCUAGCAUGGAAAUGCAUGUGUUUGUGAAAAUAACGUGCAAAAGUGUGUCGUGCUAGGGGAAAUCCCUUGGAAAAAUGUGUACAUUGCUGCAAACUGUAUACAAGUAUGUGUAUUCAGGUGACAUUUGCACUAAAAUGCUGCUGCUGGUUUUUUAAAAAAGAAAAUCGUAAAUUGCUUCCAGCUAUAUCUGGAGAAGUGAAUUUAGGAGUGGGGAAAUGUGAAAUGGAGAGCGGCGUCCCUAGCCACCGCCGAGAACUGCAUAGUCAAGUAUCCAUCCAACCACAGUCGUUGGCUGAUGGCCUGCAUCCAGGUUGGAAGCUUGCAAAUUGCACGGGCUUGCUUUGCCCGUGUGCAAAUAUACAACAGAGGUUUGGCUUGGAGUCUGCAACUGUUGCUUUCUUCUGCUAGGUGGGUGUGACCCUUUUCUGGGGCAGACUAGCCCUGGUUAACAAUGGUGCCAUCAGGGCAGGACUUUGGGGAAGGAGCCAGGGCUCCACUCAGCAGAAUGCCAAUGCAGCUGGGCUGGCUUAGCCACAUUUUAAACUAAUAAACGUUGCAGGCUAAGGGGGAGGCCUCUCCACAAGACUGUUCAGCCCAGGCUGUAAAUUAUCUUGGGCCACUGUUCAUUAGCCCUGUGGAAAGUUGUUGUUUUGUUUUUUUUAAAGGAACCCACCCCCCCUUUCUCCCUCAAUUACCUUUGCUGCUACAGUGGUACCUCGGGUUACAUACGCCUCAGGUUACAGACGCUUCAGGUUACAGACUCCGCUAACCCAGAAAUAGUACCUCAGGUUAAGAACUUUGCUUCAGGAUGAGAACAGAAAUCGUGCUCUGGCAGCGUGGCGGCAGCAGGAGGCCUCAUUAGCUAAAGUGGUGCUUCAGGUUAAGAACAGUUUCAGGUUAAGAACUGACCUCCGGAAUGAAUUAAGUGCCUAACCCAAAGUACCACUGUAUUUAGCAUUUAUUCUGUGCUGGUAGUGUGCUGCUAAUGAGCAGAAAUUUGCAAGGCACUUUCUUUUGUGUCUGUUAAGAGUAUAUAAUACUUAGAGAGGGGAGGGAACAGGGUCUUCUGUAGGCUAUGCUGAGACACCAACACCUGCUACUUCACUGCUUCCUGUAGAAGCUUGAAUUGUACCCGCAGGAAAAUGUUAUAUCCCUUAAAAUAAACAGUGCCCUUUUGUGAAGUGUUUGUGUGUGUGUGCAUGCAUGUGUGUGUGUCAUGCAUAUAUAUAUAUAUAUAUAUAUAUAUAUGCAUCUAAGAAAACAGAAGAAAGCCACAGGAUAAAAAUACAGCUCCCGCUAGGCAACAACCAUUGAAAACAGCAAGCUUCUGAAUUCCUGUCUCUGCUCAGAUCUGUUUUCCAAUCUGGAAGGUGUCCCCCCCCCCCUCUAUUUCCCCUUUAGGAAGCUGCCUCUCUACUGAGUCAGGGAUCAUUAGUUCAUCUGUUCCAGAAUUGCCUCCAUUAGCCUUCCCCAACCUGGUGUCCUCCAGAUGUUUUGGAGACCAUAACUCUCCUCAGUCCCAGCCAACACAGGGAACGGUCAGGGAUGAUGGGGGUUGUAGUCCAACAUUCUCUGGAGGACCACAGGUGGUUUUUUUUAAUUUUUUAAAAAUAGUAUAUUCAUUGCUGUCAAUAGGAACUUCACUAUAUUUCCUGCUUGUAAUCUUAUUUGAAUUGGAGUGAAGGAUAAAACCAUAAUAUCCAGAUGAUCUUCUGGGAUACAGAGAAGCAGGGCUUUUUUUCAUCGGGAACUCUCCAGAACUCAGUUCCGGCACCUCUCAGGUACAGAGCCGUAGCUAGGUCUGGUGGAACGCUCUCUCACAAGAGACCAGGGCCCUUCAAAAUUUGGCAUCUUUCCGCAGGGCCUGCAAGACGGAGCUGUUCCGCCAGGCCUUUGGCCAGGGUUCAGUCUGACUCAUUUUCUCUUUGUAUAAGAACAAGCACGAAGGAGGUUUCCCAGCCUGCUCACAGGUCCUUAUAAUAUCAGUGGAAACAGUUGGUCCUGGCGAGUAUUAACCACUUUGAAUUUUAACCUGAGGAUUGUCAUUUGGCCAGUUUUAAUUUUAAUUUAUCUGAAUUCAUUUUGGGAUGCAUUUUAAUCUAUUGAUUGCUUGUUUUUAUGCAUAUGGUAUUAUUUAAAUGAUGUUAGCCGCUUUGAGCCCGGCUCCGGCUGGGGAGGGUGGGGUACAAAUAACAAUUUAUUAUUAUUAUUAUUAUUAUUAUUAGGUGAUCUUGCACCCCUGGCAGAACUGUUCAGAUUGCGCCCCUGAGCCACAGACAAAUUAGCUCUUCCCUCCGCCUCUCCUCCAACCCCACCUCUACCCAUUCAAUUCACCCUCUAUUAAAAACCAUUUCUUAUGAGGCAAUAAUCAAUAUUUAUAUUUAUGGACAUUUUUUUUAAUGCACAAAAACAUACAAAACCAUGUAAAAGGAUCAAAUUGAGAAACAAGGACACACAACAUUUUUUUUUAAAAACUAUCCCUGAACUCCUCUUUCCCCUGCUGCUUCUCCUGUUCUCAAAGUCAAGGUCUGGGAAAGGCUCUCAGGGCUGGAGGGUGGAACAAAACAGGUGGAGAAGCCAUUGCCUGCAGAAAGUAUCUCUCCUCUCAGUCAGGUUUCAAGGUCUCAAUGUACCAGACACCAUAUGACUGGAGUCUGAUGAACGUAAGAUACAAAUGUGUCUAUGCUCAUAGCUUUUUCUUUCUUUCUUUCUUUCUUUCUUUCUUUCUUUCUUUCUUUCUUUCUUUCUUUCUUUCUUUCUUCCCUCCCUCCCUCCCUCCCUCCCUCCCUUCCCAAGCUUGUGAAAUAUAGUAAGGAAAGUCUGGAUGAAAUGCAAAAGCCAUUUGGUAUCCUUGACGUUGAGCAUCUUCUAAGGGGAAAGAACCGUGGCUCAUUGCAAAUGCAAGUCCAGUCCCUGCCAUCUCUAGGUAGGACUUGGAGAGAUCCUGUCUGACAGCCCAGAGGUGCGCUGCCAGUCAGUGUUGACAGUGCUGAGUUAGAUUGACCCAGUGGUCUGACUAGGCGUAAGGCAGCUUGCUGUGUUCCUUUCAAUCUCUAAAUGGCUUGGGACCUAGGUACACAAGGGAAAGCCAAUUCCUAUAGCAGCAUGCUUGUUUACUAAGAUUGUCCUUAGAGACCUUCUCCAUGUAUCUUUGGUAGGAGAGGUACAUUAAGUAUUUGAUCUGUACAGUGGUACCUCGGGUUACAUACGCUUCAGGUUACAGAUGCUUCAGGUUACAGACUCUGCUAACCCAGAAAUAGUGCUUCAGGUUAAGAACUUUGCUUCAGGAUGAGAACAGAAAUCGGGCUCCGGCGGCGCAGCAGCAGCAGGAGGCCCCAUUAGCUAAAGUGGUGCUUCAGGUUAAGAACAGUUUCAGGUUAAGUAUGGGCCUCCGGAACAAAUUAAGUACUAAAACUGAGGUACCACUGUAGUAGCACCCAGACAUGUCUUGCAUCAAAAUAAUGCAAUCUUUUAAUGUGUUCCUAUUUGCCAAAGCAUUUUUGAUCCAGGGGGCAGGGUCCGAUUAAGGCCACAUUCACCCCUAACAUUUAAAGCUUUAUGUUAUUACUUUAAAUAGUCAUGGCAUUCCCCCAAAGAAUUCUGGGAGCUGUAGUUGGUUAAGGCUGUUGAGAGCUAUUAGGAAACCCCUGCUCCCCUGAGAGAGCUACAAUUCUCAGAGGCAAUCCCUCUUCAGGAGGAACUCCCCAAAUCCGUUCCAGACAAUAUUAGAUUGUAUUGCAUUGCAUGCAAUUGCACCCAAUAUUCUUUUGCAAAGAAAUUCCCCAAGAUAUGAUGCAUCGUGUAUGCUCUUUUCACUAAUAUAUUCAUUUCUAUCUCCACGUUACCCUAGCAAAUGCAAUUUUGUACAUGUUGCUUGUCCGAAGAGCUGCAUUGCAAAAUUCAGUGAAGUGCACAUUUUGAAGACCAGCUAAGUUUCGGUCCCAUAUUGUUUCAGCAAGUGCGAACUAGAUAACUUUGCCUUCAAUUGCAAACUCAACCAAAUUUCUUCCCCGUCCCUAGUAACAAACACUUUGGGUCCGCAGCUAUUUUUUUUGGGAUGCUUCCUAAGGCGUACUGUAUCAGAAGCGAAGCAGCCCAAAGCUCAUGCAAUGUGAAGAAAAACAAACACAAGAGAGUGCCUAUCUAUGACUUGACAUUUCCUCUGCUGGACAAUAAAAUAAUUGUUUUGCUGCCUGCCUCUUUUAUGCCUGGGCUUUCAACUGGGAGAUGCCUUCCAGAGCCAACCAGGAAGAACGCGGAGCCUUUUCAAGGGUCUGUCAUGUUGUGCUUGGGUCUUUUUUUCUUUCUGGAAUCCUACUGUGCCUCUUGCUUUCUCUUCCUUCCUCCUUGGCAGAACCUUUAUGCAAAGUUUUGUCUGGAAUAUGUCCUUGAACUUUGAUAAUGGCUCUGAGUUGCUUGGAUGGAGCAUGGAGAAGGGUGUGUGUAGAAGCUACCCUACUCUAUAAAGGUCUAAUUUGCCUCCAUUGCUUCUGGCCCUGUCUACCACUAGCAUAUAACCUGUGGAGGAUUUGACCAGAAAGGAAUGCAGCCUUGGACAGAAGAAAUGUUCUCCGCCCCUAACUUUGUGAACCACCCUUGUCUACAGCAUCACACUGGUUUUAGUCACACUGGCAUAUUUAGAGAUUUCUCUGAAUCUCCAGACUUCCCACCUUCCCCUCCACGGAUCCUGUUGUCCACCUUUUCAACUGCAUAUUAUUUCAUAUUCCAUAUUUUACCGUAUUUUUCGCCCUAUAGGGCGCACCGGCCCAUAGGGCACACCUAGUUUUUUUGGGGGGAAACAAAGACACCCCCCCCCCGUGAGAAGGGGAGAAGCCUGAGCUUCCCCUGACCCCAGCCCCCAGAACAGGCUUCUAUCCGCAAGCCUAGGGAGCCUGGCGGGAACUCCCACCGGGCUCCCCAGGCUUGUGGAUAUCUGCCCGAAGACAGCAGCGCGCCCCAGGCUUCUGUCGGAGAACAGCGGGAAGGUGGCGCUCCACCUCCCCGCUGUCCCUCGAGCUUGUGGGGCUGGCGGUGGGGAGAAGCGCUGAUUUCCCCACUGCCAGCCUCCAAACCAGGUCGGGUUUGGAGGCUGCUAUCCGCAAGCCUUGGGAGCCCGGCGGCAACUCCCGCUGGGCUCCCAAGGCUUGAGGAUAGCUUCCUGAAGCCUGCAUUCGCCCCAUAGGACGCACACACAUUUCCCUUUCAUUUUUGGAGGGGGAAAAGUGCGUCCUAUAGGGCGAAAAAUACUGUAUAUCUUUCCAUACUGUCCAUGGUAUUUGCUACAUCACAAGUGUUACUCCGACCUGGUGGAAUGUUCCAUGAGACCAGGGCCCUUCAGGAUUUAACCUCCUUCCAUUGGGCCUGUAAGACAGAGCUAUUCCGCCUGGCCUUUAAUUUGAAUUCAGCCUGAUCUUUUACUUCCCUUUCCUUCCUCCCCCCUCCCCUUUUAUGAAGAUCACCCGCUCUGCGACCCCACAGCUAAUUCUUUCCUGGUCUCCGCACUGGCCCAAGUAGGACCAAUUCAGCCAGUUAGCCCUGGGGAUUAUCUAAUGCUUAUUUCCCCUAAAUUGAUUUUUGAAUUUUAUUGUUAUUCAUGUUUUUAUACUGUAUUUUAUGCUGCUUUUAUAAUUAAGUGUUUUAAAUUUGUUGUUAGCCUCCCUGAGCCCGGUUUUUGAACCGGGAAGGGCAGGGUAUAAAUAUAAAUUUAUUAUUAUUAUAUUAUUAUUACUAAAAUCCUGCUAAUGUUUCCAUCUGCUUACAGUGGUCUCCUAAAUAAAUUAUAAUUUCCCCCCAUUCUUUACUGAAGUUUUUGUCUUCCUGGUUUCCGGUCAGUUUUGCCAUUUCACUGUUCUCCAACAGCUUGGUUUGGCAUUCCUCUCUGGUAGGGACUUUAUCUUCUUUCAAUCUUUGGACUAGUAGCUUCCAUGCUGCUGUUGUCGCAUACAUAAAAAGUCUCUUCUGCCCCUUUGGGAUAUCGGUACCUACAAUUCCUAACAAAAAAUCACAGUGGCAAAUUUGAUGGCUAUUGAGCCCCUGCCCUGGCAGCCAACACAAGGAAUAGCUUCCUGCCUGUGAAAGUGUAUGUUGUCAAUUAUAGCAUCUCAGGAGCAUUACAUAAUAAAUAGAACAGCAUGAACGGUAGCAAUGCAUAUGGAUUGAUGAGCCUUUCCUGCUGUUAACCCCAUGAGAGCUGCAUGGAUCAAGCGUCUUGACGGAUCCUAAUGUAAGUAGGGCUGGAUGAUAGAUUGAUAUAUCAUCCAAAACCAGUUUGAAGUCCGUAUCGUGAUACUGGUUUAAUAAUUUUGACCUGACAAUAUAUUGUGUGUGCGCGUGCUAUGCAAAAAUCACAAUGUGGCAAAAACUGUGAAGCUAGCCAACAGAUUGUUCCAUCCUUAUUUCAGACAUCAUGAUAUAUCAGUAUAUCAUGAUGUUUAGCUGGUGAUACAUCAUGAUGUUGAAAACCAGGUAUCUCCCCACCCUAAUUGCAAUCCUUGCUUACUUUACAAGGAAGAGCUGUUCCAUAACACGACUGUUCCUAUUGUGUGUGCAGGGGAGGGGGGAUGUGACAAUGGAGCAAUUUUCAUUCAUAAUUUUAUUUGUAUGCCACUUUUCCACAAAAAAGAACCGUGCUCAUAACGGCUUGCGGCAAAGGAAACAGGAAUGCGUUUCAAAAUCAAACAGUGCGAAAUCCAUUUCAUGGCAGCAUAAAAUAGCAACACAAUAGCAUAUUACCAAAACAAUGACAUUUCAGUACUAUAAAUACAAAAAGAUUACACCUUCUGGCAGUAGCAAAAUUUAACAAGGAAGCUUAAUAGCUUCAUCCUGGUCCUAUAAACAUUCCUCUUGAGACGUUGCUCACGGUCCGUCUCCUGCUGCAGUCUUAUAAGACUUGCAAAGGCGGGGUGUGUGUGGUUUAGCUGAAAACACCCUUCCCCUGAAGUUAGCGCCAUGAUGAUGCAGGUAUUCUAGAACCUAACUAGAAUAUUCUGAUAAAAAAUCAGCUGGGUGCUCCUUACAAAAGUGGGCACUAGGCAAAGCGCCUGCCUCACCUAGGGGUCUAAAGGAACAUUUCCGUUCUAGCCCAUUUUUGUCGCAUGCAGCACUGUUUCUGUUCUGCUGCAGUUUAGCUUCUGACAGCUAUGUUAUUCAUCUCACUGUCCAUGGCGGCAGAAUUUUAUGUACUUAAAUAAGGGUCAUCAUUGCAUUAUUCCACACCAUUCGUUUCAAAACAAAGACCAUCAUUUACAUGCAAAUCAAAGACCAGGGAAACGGGGGGUGGGGGUGGGGGGGUUAGAAGGGAGAAGCGAUCAGUUACGUACUGUUUUGCGCGGUAAAAACAACAACGUUGAAUACCGCUUGUAUUCACUGGUUUGAUUUCUGUUCAGGACGUGGGACGAAUAAGCAAGCAUUGACAUUUUCUGCUUCUUUCCCCAUUCAUGUUGGGAGUUCUCCUCCAGCCUUAUCCUACAUCUGGAAUAAAAUCCAGGAAGAUGGCAAGUGAAUUUCUGUUUGUAACCUGUCAGGGCAGCUCUUGCAAGUUCCUGAUGCCAAAGAUAAAAGCAUUAAAGAGUUGAGAAGUUCCGGCUUUGGCUCUUUAUUUCCAGGGUCAGGUACGGGUGAUUCCCAUGUUGCAAUCAAGAAACAUGGAAAGAUCAUUUUGUAAUAGAUCCAUGUAUGUGUAAGCAAGAAUGCAUCACACCCAUGGCCGGAUUUAGGUUUGAUGAGGCCCUAAGCUACUGAAGGUAAUGGGGCCCUUUAUAUGUCCAGCUGUCCUUUGUCAACAACAAAUGGUCACUUUUUGGUGUGUUGAAUAUAUGGUAUAUGGUAACUUAUGGACCUAAAAGGUAUCUAAAGGCAUUUGCACAUAACAAAAUAUGUAUUUAAUCAAAGUAACUGAUAUAGAAAUGAGCAAACCAGUGAUAUUUUAGGAAGCAGGCUAGCAGGCAGGGCCCAUUACUUACAUCAUAGGAGCCUCCACAACACAAAAUACUGUUGCUGUAUGUAGGUUUUAUUUUAUUUGUUUUUUAUCUUAUAUUUUGGAAAUGUACAUCCAGGUUUUUUUCCUUUAAAUUUUUAUGAGGCCCCCGAGAGAGUGGGGCCCUAAGCUAUAGCUUGUUUAGCUUAUAUGUAAAUCCGGUGCUGAUCACACCCAAAGGUGUGCUUGUACAGUGGUACCUCGGGUUAAGAACUUAAUUCGUUUUGUAGGUCCGUACUUAACCUGAAACUGUUCUUAACCUGAAGCACCACUUUAGCUAAUGGGGCCUCCUGCUGCCGCCACACCGCCGGAGCCCGAUUUCUGUUCUUAUCCCGAAGCAAAGUUCUUAACCUGGGUUAGCGGAGUCUGUAACCUGAAGCGUAUGUAACCUGAAGCGUAUGUAACCCGAGGUAGCACUGUAUAUGUUUUCAGUUAUUUGUGUUUUAUCCGUGAUUGUCUUAAUUUUGGGAUUCCCAGUUCUGGGGGGAAAGGCAAGAUAUAAAUAAAAUAAUGAAGAUAUUUAAUGUUUUAAUUAAACAAAUAAUAUUAAUAGUUUUUUAUUGCUAUAAUUGUUGUUGUUCCAUCUGUUGCUUUUUACAAAAAGAAAACCUCAAAGUUUCUCUCAAUAAAAUGCAAAAUACAGGAUUCUGCCUGCAAAGUUAUGGAAAAAUAUUUGGAAACCUAAUGAGCCUGUUAGUUGUGUCCAUUAAUUUCAAUGAAUCUACUCUGAGUAGGGACUAGCAUUUGCUAAAACUCAUUGUACUGUAAUAGGCUUAUGAAAUAAAUACAGCCCUCCUAAAAAGAAUACGAUGCAUUAUGCAUGCCUCAAUUAAAAUUAGAAUACACAUUAAAAAUGUUAAUCCAAUUUGGUCUAGAGAGCCUGGGAGUGGAGGGGAGGGGGGUUUGCAUAUGUUUUUACUCUUCCUCUCCACUUUUCCUUAAAGCGAUAAGGGAGCCUUUUUCAUACACAUGUUGCCUCAAUUUUUAAGAGACCGCUGCUAUUUUAUUCCGAGGAAUAAAUUAGUCCCGAAUAGUAAUAAAAGCAGCUGGUUGCUUUGAAUGUAGGGUGGGGAAUGGGGGUGGGGGAGAGUGCCUUCCACAUAACAUAAUUAAAAAUAAAGUUUGUGGCUAUUAGACAUACAAUAAGCGUUCUGUGCGCUGGUGUGAAAGGCUCUAAACAAACAACUCUUUGCUCAUUUUGCAAGGCUGCCAUAAUUUUACCGCUGUCUGUUUUAAUAGCAGCAGGGGAUCAUUGCGUGCAGCUUUACUCCAUUCUUUUUUUUUCUUUUAAAAAAGAGUAGUUGUAUUCCAUGUUAUUCUCUGAUGGGAUUCAUGGCAGGUUUUGUAGGAAAGUUCUCAAAUCCCUGAUUGGUGCUUUUCAAGGGACGUUCCGUCACCCAGAGUGGUAAAGCAGAAGGUUUGCAUGCAGAAGGUCUCAGAAUUAAAAGCCACUGUCACAGGCCACCUCUCCAGGUCCAGGGGCUACCAGCCACCACUGCUCUGCACUAUAUUUUCAAUUUUCAGACCCUUGUCAUCAGUAUGACCUGAACCCUGUGACGCUUGGGGAUUUCCUUGUAGCUAAGCUUCUCAAAAUUAUUAUGUAAUCUUUUCAAGUUCGGUGAACUAAUAGACAAUAUGGGAUUGAUUUUCAACCACAUCGGCAUUUGCUACCCAGGCUGAUGGGUGCCUUUUGCAGCCUUUGAUUUGCUAAGCAGAACCUCUGCGAUCUCAGAAAGCGAGAUCUGUCUCUGCCAAGGUGUGGUUCUGCGUUUAGAAAUCCUCACUUCAGAGGAAGGUGGAUAUCUGCAGGCAGAAGGAAUCUUCCACUCAGGAAAGGGUUGUUUUAUAACUCAUGCUAGGGCGUUGUGCAAAAAAAGCGCAUCUCAACCCAAAAUGCUUUAAUUAUGAAUUAUUCCAUUUAUAUCCCAGCUUUCCUCCUAGGAGUUCAGGGUUGGGGAUUCAGUUUCCCUCUCCCUUAUUUAAUCCUUACAACAACGCUGUGAGGUAGGUUAGGCUGAGAGAUUGUGACAGGCAUACGGUCACCCAGUGAGCUUCAUGGCAGCUGUGGCUGCUGAUGUUAGAAAGUACCAUUUAGUGUUUUGUUGUUGUGGUGUGUGUGUUUAAAAGAAGGAUUGUAUCAUUUUAAUGGAUUUUAUCUUAUGUUUAUCUAUUUGACCUUCUUUUAAACUCCCUGUGGCUUGUGCAAAGGGUGGUAUAUAAAUAAUCUCUGAAUAAAUAAAAUAAGCAGCUAAAUGGGGAUUUGAACCUGCACUCUAGCCACUAUACCACACUGCCUCUGGAAGAGCUCACAUGAGCGCUUGCACUAUUGUGAAUACAUAACGGGAACCUGCCAGUCACACCGAGUUUCUGACAAGCUCUGUGAACAUAGGAAGCUGACUUUAUACCAGGUUAGGCUAUUUAUUUAGCCCUUUAGCCUUCUCUGUUUAGCAGCAGCUUGGCCUGGUCUUGGACAUUCACAUCACCAGACUGCCUGAGUCCUUUCUCAUGCAAUGCAUAUGCUUUAUUUACUGCUGAGCUUUGCUGCCUUGCCCCUGUGCUAGUGGUUAUGAUCCUUUUGGUCCCCGACCCAUACAUGGUAGCAAUGGACAAGAUGCAUCUCUCUUGCAGAUCUGAAUGGCAGAAGAACAAGUUUGGGGUACGGAAAGAGAGGGUGUUUGCAUAUUGGAUGGAUGCAAGGAAAGUGACAAAGAAAAGAGGAUUUAAUCAGGCAGUGGCCGAGCUCUGAGAAGUGUGUAUGAGCGCACGGUGCUGUUGGGCCUGACCCCAAAUAUCCUGGCUUUUAUAAGGCCCGAGCCUUUGUCCAACUGCUCCUGCCUCUGGAAUUAGGAUGCUGGAGAAUUCCAAUGAAAACAGAAGUGGAAAUUGCAGGUGUUUGCUUAUUUGUGCCAUGUCCAGAACAGAAAUCAAUUGGAGAAUGCAAUUGCUAUUCACAGGUGUUGCUUUCAAUGCAUUACAGCUUUCCCUGUUUGAGUUGUAUUUCAUUUGCUUUGAAAUGCAUAAUGGAAUGACAAUGUAAUGCACGUUACGGAUGUAUGGGAGACAGUGAAAUAGUUUUUAGUGGCAAGGAUCUCCAGUAGAAAGGAGACAGUGCUGCAUGGGACAAACGCAGGGUGGCGUGGAAAAUGAUGUCCUUUUACAUCCUUACACUGGAGCUGCCUACACUCCCAAGUGGUUGCGUAUACUUUUGGACAUACUAAAAAGAAAGAUGCAUUAUAUAUAGGUGUGGAUUCUCACAGAUUCAAUCCCUGGCAUCUCCAGAUAAAGAGUGAGGCAGCAGGCAAUGUGAAAGACAUCUUCCAGAGACAGUAGUGAGCUGCCAAGAGUCCCAGUCAGGCAAUACUGGACUAGUUGGUCAAAUAAUCUCACCUAAUAUAAAACAGCUUUCUAUUUAGAUUGUAAUUAACUCCCAAGCUGCACUGGAGAUGUAAUUAAUUGCUUGCUGAAUUGUACUUAAUGCUGCAGCCGGUGUGAUCUCUGUUCCCUUGCCAUGUUGAAUAAAGUUUCCCUCUGUCAUAGCACUAGAACUCACAGCCGUCCAAUGAAGCCAAAUGAUGGAAGAUUUGGGACAAUAGAAAAGAAAGUUUUUCUUCAAGUUGCACAUAGUUAAACUAUGGAACUCGCUUCUGCAGGAGGCAAUGAUGAUCACCCACUUUAAAAGAGGAUUAGACAAAUUAAUGAAGGAGAGGGCUGUUGAUGGCUUCUAGCAAUCUUCUUCUUUGACAAUCACUCAUAGCCGAGUAAGAUUGUCUUCCAUAAACACGGUUUUAACAAUGAGUCCGUAAGUGACUGGAGGCCAAUUCUGGAUCCACAUGUCCUUCCACAGUGGGGACAUUGGUUUCCAGGUGGGAGUUGAUCACGGUGUGGAUUUGCCAAGCGUGCCUUCCUCUUAGCACGUUUCUCCCUUGCGUCCUGAGUUCGAGUGUCUUCAAAGCCCAUGACACCUUUGGUAAAGGCUGUUCUCCAAUUGCAGAUGAGUGUUUCACAAUUGUUGGUGUUUAUACCAAUUUUUUAAAAAUUUGCCCAAGACAGUUUUUAAACCUCUUUUGUUGAACACCAGCAUUACGCUUUCCAUUUUUAAGUUCGGAAUAGAGUAGUUGCUUUGGAAGACGACCAUCAGGCAUCCACACAACAUGACCAGUCCAACGAAGUAGAUGUUGAAGAAUCAUUGCUUCAACACUGGUGAUCUUUGCUUCUUCCAGUACACUGGUAUUAGUUCUCCUGUCUUCCCAAGUGAUGUGUAAAAAUUUUCAGAGACACCGUUGAUGGAAUCUUUCGUGGAGCUGGAGAUGGCGUUGAUAAGUGGUUCAUGUUUCACAAGCAUACAGUAAGGUUGGUAGUACAAUAGCUCUGUAAACAAGCAUUUUGGUUUCCCUGUGAAUUCUAGUAAUCACGACUAUGCUUUGCCUACAUAGCUGGAGGCAGUUAUGCUUCUGAACACUGGUUGCUGGCAACUACAGGAGGGAAGAGUGCUCUUGUGCUCAAAUCCUGCUGACAGCUUUUCCCCAGGCCUCUGGUUGGCCACUGUGAGAAGAGGAUGCUGGACUAGAUGGGCCAUUGGCCUGAUCCAGCAGGCUCUUCUUAUGUUCUUAUGCAAAUGGCAGCUUGGGCUUGCAGCAGAUGUCUCAAGAGAUGCCUUUGCCACAAGCAGGAGCCCAGAGUGGCCAACGCAAGCAGAGUGGUUGUGUACAUUGGCCCCAAGUCAUUCCUUGGAUUGCAAACAGAAACCCGGUGCGGUUUGCUAAACCAGAGAAGUAUUAAGAAGUCAUUUGUGGCCUGCAAUAUUGUCACGCUCCUCUUCGGUGCUGACUCGCUAUAUCACCCGUUGGCAUUUGGAUUUUCAGUAUUGGUGAGUUGUUUAAAGUGGGGGGAAACACACACCACCAAGUCUGUUUCUUCUGGCUGAUAUUUCCUGAGUGCCGUUCCCUUUACACGUCUGUUUUCAGUGGUGCCUUUUCAGAUUAUUUUUUUUAAAGGUCUCCAACCCUUUAAACACAGCAUGUCUUCAGAUUGUGGGUUGUUGUUGUUUUUUAAUAAUAAUAAAAAACUUCUGGAGGAUCACAGCAUUUUUAUUUUUCUAAGGCUCAGGAUACGUUGGUGGAAAGAGGCAGCCUACUAGACCUGGAACCUUUAACAAAACUUUUCUGAUUAGACAUGGGCUUUACAUUCAAUGCUAUUUCCUGGUAUAACAUAGGAAGCUACCUUAUACUGAGUCAGAUCAUUUGCCCAUCUAGUUCAGUCUUGCCUACACUGACUGGCAGUGGCUCCUGAGGGUUUGGAACAGGGGCUUCUCCAAACCCGACCUGGAGAUGCUGGGGAUUGAACCUGGGACUUUAUGCAUCCAAAGCAAAAGCUCUAAUGCUGAGCUAUGGCUCUUCCCCCAACACUGAAAGCUUGUGUAAUGUACUUAUUUAAAUUUAAACACAUCACUAUUUGUACAUGACUUUUAUACAUUACUAAGCUAGGGAUGGAGAACAUGUGGCCCUCCAGAUAUUGCCGGACUCCGGAUUCCAUCUGCCCCGGUGAGCGUUACAAACGGACAGGGAUGAUGGGAGUUGUAGUCCAACAAUAUCCGCAGGGCACCAGGUUUCUCACCCCUGGACUAGGCAAAUACUGAAAUCAAGAUUAAGGUAUCCUUGCUUAAGACUCAUAACAGAAAUGAAGGAAUAACAAAUAUUGAAAUUAGGUAUUGGCAUAUACCCCAACUUCUUAUUCCAACAUAUUAAAUAUUGGACCAAUGUAUUAAAUAUUUGCUCAUAAAACCCUUGAAAUCCUUUCAACUCUUAAAAACCCUUAAUAUGUUCUGAAUUCUGUCUCUCUCCCCCUCUCUCUGUGUGGUUCUGGUAUGGAUUUUCAAAGGUUGUAGAGGAACCUACCUUAUAUCGACUCAGACCAUUGGUCCAUGUAGCUCAGUCGUGUUGGACUGACAGAGGCUCUCCUGGGCUUUGAGGAGUGAGUCCUUCCAAUCCCUACCUGGAGAUGCUGAACCUUGGACCUUCUGUAUGCAAAGCAGAUCAUGUCCUACACUCGCCUUCGAAAUUCACACUUUCUGAAUUUUGCGAUGCACACCCCCAACCAAAGAAUGCUUAUAUUAAUUUUAAAAAUGCACAAAACGUCAUUCUGUUGGAUGGCUAUGGCUUGUCAAAAUGCACGUACUAGACAAAAUUGAAUACAAACAUGCAUGACUUAGGAGAAAUACGCAAAACAGUGUGCAACUAUGCAUUUUUUUAAAAAACCCCUCAUUGCAAAUGUAUGCAAAAAUGGGGAGAACUAAAAACUGGAAAUCAGCCCUGAGUACUCACUGGAAGGACAGAUCCUGAAGCUGAGGCUUCAAUACUUUGGCCACCUCAUGAGAAGAGAAGACUUCCUGGAAAAGACCCUGAUGUUGGGAAAGAUGGAGGGCACAAGGAGAAGGGGACGACAGAGGACGAGAUGGUUGGAUAGUGUUCUCAAAGCUACUAACAUGAGUUUGACCAAACUGAGGGAGGCAGUGGAGGACAGGAGUGUCUGGUGUGCUCUGGUCCAUGGGGUCAUGAAGAGUCGGACAUGACUAACCAACAACAACAACAACAAACUGGAAGAAUGAGAAACCAAGAUGGAUAGAUUUGCCCAUCCCUACUUCAGUGCUAAUGUUUUAAAUCUGGGUCCCUCAGACAUGGCAUCUAUAAUAGGGUGGAAAAGAGAGGGAGGUGAGGAAGGAGGAUUUCCUUAGCAGUUAAUCUGUUUCAGUUCCUGUACCUUUUGGUAAGGCUUGGUGCCUGCCCCUUCUAAGCUACGUAGACCCUACCAGGAAAUCUAGAAUAAGUAGUCGAUUAAGUAGUUAUUUAGAGUGUGUCAUUAUCUGAUUAGCAAAAUGCUGGCUGACAGAUAGCAAAGGCUGUGAAGUCCCUGGGUGAACACAGAAAGCACUUCUGGGUAUUUACCGGUAUUUUACAUUUGAACUUAGCUCUGGCGCCAGAAGUGAAGGGGUCCCAGUUAAGGUGCUCUUUGCACCCCCUCAACAAAUAGUACACCCCUCAAAGAGUUUAACAGAUCUACCGAUGCAAACUUUGAAAUUAUUGCUUCUAAUUUAACAAGAAAAUCAGUACAUAUUGCUGUAGGGGGACGACUGUGGCCAGAUGACCUGUCUGCUGGCUCAACCUGCUGCCCACUGUUGUUGGACAACUUCAAGGCCAUUUUAUCUCUAAACCAAGCUUGGACCUCACAGCCCUCCAAAUAGAGAGCCAACCUCUGUAAAGUAGGACGCAUGGCCACCAUACAAGAUGGCGUCCUUAAAAUGCCAUCUUGGGCUGCCUUGGCAUGCUUAGCAGACAUGAGCUGCUGAUACUGCCCUGGCUAGCAUGGCUUUCUUUGCUUUCAAGGGUUCAGCCUUGAAAGGAGGGGUACCAGACCAGUUCCUAUGCUUCCAAAUGAGCACAAGAAGAGCAUUGCUGAAUCAGACUAAAGGCCUAUCUCGUCCAGCAUCCUGUUCUGACAGUGGCCAACCAAUGGUAAGCAUGCAAGUAGGACCUUAUGAGGGGUGUGUCAGGGGAGGGGUGUGGAGGGUUGUGGAGGCUCCUUUGGGCUAGAUAAUUUCACCCUUGGACCCUCAGUUCCCCACCAUGACAAAGGUGAAGAACAAAACUUGCAACAGGCCCUAUCCACUUCAAGCUGCCUUAGUCAUAGAUUGGCUGGAUGCAGAGGAGUGGUGAAAGGAAACAGCUGGGGAACCCCCCAAGGUAACCCCCUGGGAGGGGGGAAGGCUCAUUAGCAUCUUAGGAACUCCACUCCAGAAUUGUGUAGGAUUUACUCAUUAGCCCCCCUUCUCCUGAAUAUAUCUCACAAGGCAGCAGAGGUCAGAGCUUUCUUUCUCCUAGAUGGGCUCCCUUCCCAGGUUGAUGAGCCAAUUUGCCCAAGCCUGCCUUUGCAUGCAGGGGAAGUCCCUAACACACUGAGACCCAUCAGCUACCCUCACCUGGUUUAACCAGCCAGUCGAAGCCGUUUCCCAAGGUGUGGCUGCUUUUGCUUGCUGAUAGCUUCUAGGAGCCACACGUGAGAGCUGAGUGCAGGCUGGGAGCCAAAGCUGGACAAACUACCCCAGAAGGAUCAUGGCAUUUUCCCCUCCCGAGGUACUACCUCUCCCCUAACACCCCAUACACAGCACUAAUGGGGCAGAUAAUACAUCAAUUAAAAUAAUCUGUAUGGUUGAAUGUUAUCUACAUAUUUCAUAUUGCAGUGAAUUAUGAAGUCUACUUUUCAAUAAUCUUCUUGUCCAUGUUUUAAAGAAGUGGCAUCAGGCUGCAUCUUACUAAUGGGCAUCCUGGUCCUUCCUCCCAGCUGGUUUGUAUUCAGGGAGGAGAUCAAGUCUGCUAGCUUUGACUUUUAUUAGUAUUAAAAAACCCCACUUUCUUCUGAAGUUCCUUCUUGGGUGCUUCUUGGUUCACAGAGCAAACAGGGUUAUCAUCUGUGUUUAAAGCGAUUUGUGCUAUACGGUGAGUCCCCUGCUAUUCUUAGUUAUUUGCACAGGCUUUGAGAGUGGAGCAGCUGAGAAGCUUUGUGUGCCCUAUUUAGGUCUGGGAAAGACAUGUAAGCAAAUAAUCAAGGUAGGUUAGGCAACAAUCCCUCUGCUGUUUUCUGGCAGGGGUGGGGGGUGGUUCUCUUGUGCUCCAGUGGCACCAAGAGCUUUCUUCUGAGUGGAGAGAGAGGUUUCUGCUUCUGCACUCCCUUAAGGUCAAGGAGGUGCUUCUGGUAGAAGCUCUUGCCAUGCCUAUGCCUUAAACCUUCUCUGCAGAUAACUCUCUCGCAUGCAUUUUUAGAGCAUUUGGUCUGGUGCAUGACAGAUUCCGGCGGAAAUGUUUACAUCCACCACUUGGAUGGGGCAAGGAACAUUUUUCAGGCUGAGGGCUGCAUUCCCUUCUGGGCAACCUUCUGAGGGUUGCAUGCUAGUGGUGGGUGGGGCCUGGAGCAAAUGUGGGCGGAACAACAGAUGCAAAUGUUACCUUUGUGCAGCAAGCUAGGUUCUGCACUGUGCACUUGCUCUCUGUUUGUAUCAUCAGAGCUGGAGGACACAUUCCAGCUAGGCAAACUCACUGGCAAACACACACAGGGCCAGUGAGAAGGGUAUGUUUUGGGAAGAGGGGUGUGUGGCUCAGGGAGAGUUCCAAGGGCCUGGUAAAGAGUUUUGGAGGGCCACAUUCAACCCCUGGACCUGAGUUAAAGGAACGUGAUGAAAGAAAUACGAGGGAGGACAAGCAGCCUGGUCCUGUGAUUAGGGCAAUGGUCCACUGCAGAGAAGUAUGAAAUAAUGACUGGCUGGAAUGAAGUCUGUUUGCAUCUGCAAUCCAUCUGCGGCUCAGACUCGUAACCACAGCAGUAAAGAAUACAGAUAAGCUUUUGUGGAGAUUCAAAUAAAAGGAACAGCACAAGUGAGAGAAGGCUGUGUCUCUCCCUGGGUGCCUUUCGCAAGUGUAGGGCAGAAAUGGGUGGAGUUUUCCCUCACUCGCAAUGCACUUUGGAGAAGGGAAGAAACAGUAAGAGAGAAACUGCAGUGUCAGAGCGCCUGUUGGGGAUGGCUGGAAAUCCCUCCUGCUGGAGGAGCACGGGUGGUUGACCCUGGCAACCUUGGAAGCAUUAUUCAUUAAAUCAUUGAACUGUAGAGUUGGAAGGGACCUCAAAGGUCGUCUAGUCCAACCCCAGCAGAAUGCAGGAGUCACAGCUGAAGAAUCCUUGACAGAUGGCAUCCAACCCCUGCUUAAAAACGUCUACUGAAGUGAAAUUGUAUACACCUGAUCCUGACCCACUAGGUGUGUAGAUGACACAGCAGUGGCUUGGAUCCCGCGUUGUACAGGACAGCAGUGGAGGAAGGACAUUGCGGCAAAUGACCUCCCAACCCAUUCCAUCAUCAACAGCCUCCACCUGCCUGCAUCCUCAUUUAGCAGCUAGUUAAGGGGGUGGUCAGGGAUGUGGUUGGCGCUGUGGGUUAAACCACAGAGCCUAGGACUUGCCGAUCAGAAGGUUGGUGGUUCGAAUCCCCGCAACGGGGUGAGCUCCCAUUGCUCAGUCCCUGCUCCUGCCAACCUAGCAGUUCGAAAGCACAAAGUGCAAGUAGAUAAAUAGGUACUGCUCCGGUGGGAAGGUAAACGGCGUUUCCGUGCGCUGCUCUGGUUCGCCAGAAGCGGCUUAGUCAUGCUGGCCACAUGACCCGGAAGCUGUACGCUGGCUCCCUCGGCCCAUAAAGCGAGAUGAGUGCCGCAACCCCAGAGUCGGUCACGACUGGACCUAAUGGUCAGGGGUACCUUUACCUUUAAGGGGGUGGUCUUGCCAGCCAGCUUUUUCCUUCUUAGUCUCAGUUUUGAACCUUGAGGAACUCAGCAAGGACGAGGAUGGGGACAAAACUGCAAUUAGUCAGCCCUUCCCUUCAUUGGCUCUGGCUGCACCCCCUGGUGGGCUUCUGUCCUACCUUGCCUCCUGCCCCCCUCCCCAGUUCCAAUGGACACCAGCCAGUGUUGCGAGUCAGCCCAAGCUACGAAUAAAGCUUCUGAUGGCAACUGUAGCUGUGACAAACGCUUUUUGUAGCUGAGGUCACACUUCUUGGGAGCAACAGAGAGUAACUAAGGCUAUGCAGAGAUCUGGAUUGCUACAAAAGAGCCUAUUCAAGGUGAAAGCAAGUAUCUAAAGUGGGACAGGAGACAGGUUUCUGGAUGUUUACCUGGGGGCGGGGGAUAAGUCUCACACCACUUGGCAAGGUUUGGGAAAGAUUCAAAGUACACAAAGGGGCUAAUUUUAGCCUGAGCAACUGUGUUGUGACUAGUUCAGGAAUACUCUCCCCCACCCCAAUAAAAAAAAAAAGCCACAUCCCGAAAUAACUUGUUGUUGUCAUUCUAAAUGUUGCGUAGUCAUGGCGGGGGUGGGCAUGCUGUACCCUCCAACAUUUUACAGGUGGAAACGGAUGUUUGUAGCAUGGCUGUUCUGUCCCCAAACACAAGAAUUACUGCUAGAAUUCAUGGGUGGGCAAACUAAGGCCCGGGGGCCAGAUCUGGCCCAAUUGCCUUCUAAAUCUGGCCCGCGGACGGUCCAGAAAUCAGCGUGUUUUUACAUGAGUAGAAUGUGUCCUUUUCUUUAAAAUGCAUCUCUGGGUUAUUUGUGGGGCAUAGGAAUUCGUUCAUAUAUAUUUUUUCAAAAUAUAGGCUGCCCCCCCCCCCAAGGUCUGAGGGUCAGUGGACUGGCCCCCUGCUGAAAACGUUUGCUGACCCCUGUGCUAGAUCCUUCUCUCAUUGUUGUUCUCUGGCAUCUAGAGAUGUAUGGACCUGCUGAAGUCUAGUCCACCCCAUUUUUAAAACAGAACGGGGCUAGGUCUGUUUUGUUCCAUUUCCGGGCAGAUUUUUAUCAUAAGCACACAUUUAAAAAUCAAAUCAAAAGGUACUUAAGAUGGUCUACGAGUUGCCUGCUGCCCAGUGUUCGAAAUUAGCCAAGUGCCAGGUGUAUUUUGCACUGGACUAUUAGCCAUCUGCGACCAAGUGAAGAUGCCUGGGUGACAGGAUGACAUCUGAAAUCUCCCCCAUCUGGAGGCGCAUGCCUGGGGAUCAUUGGAUCUGGACUAUUUUCACACACUAAAACGCCAUCCUGUAGAAUUCUAUCAGUUAUAUUUCAUCUGCACAAUUGGAAUGCAUUUCAGCAACAAAAAGGCUUUUUCUGUGCACCCUGGGCUUGAUAGGGCUUGACGAUGUUCUGUAUCUCCUAGGGGGAGGGGAACACGGUUGUCCCCAUUUAAGCAUUGGUGCAGCUCUGAUCCCACUCACCCUGGAAUGUCACCAAGCCUCAUCACUCCCAGGGGGCCUUGCUCUCUGUACACUGAAGCCCAUGUUGGCAAGGAGCCCCUCACACCAGUUGCUAUUUUAAGAAGUUUAAAGAGGGGAAAUUGGAGGGGAAAGGGAACAGAGGCAGCAUGCCAGCCUCAUGAGAACCAAUUUGGUGUAAUGGUUAGGGUACUGGACUAGGUCCUGGGAGACUAGAGUUCAAAUCCUCACUUGGCCAUCAAGCUCACUGGGUGAUCUUGGUCUAGUCACUUCUUUGCAGCAUGACCUACCUUACAGGGCUGUUGUGGGGAUUCAACGAGGAAGGGGACAACCAUGUACACCACCUUGAGCUCCUUGGAUAAAAGGUGGGAUAUGAGGGCAAUCAAUAAAUAAUAUUGAACCUGCUGAUUCUGAAGUGAAUCAUUGAUCCAGUCUGUGCCAUGAUUUUCCUGGAGUGGAUCAGGUUGAGUCCACUUCGAGAUCUGCACAAUUCAGAUUUUUCCUCCAUCCCUGCUGGCAACUGCCUUUCAAAGGUAUAGUACCUCUGAAUUGGGAUGAUCCACUUAGCCAUCAUCUCUCCUAAGACUUACCUUCCUCCGUGUAUCUGCCUUUAAAGUCGCCUAACUUAGCUGCCACCACAAGGUCUCUUGGCAGAAUUGGAUAGGAACGCGUGGGCUAUGUAGAUGAAAAAUAGUGUUUAUUUUUCACAGUUCGUGUUAAUGGCUUCACCUUCUAAUGAAUCAAGCUAUUAUUUAUCUUGGCUUCUUGGAUUUGUUCUGUGCUCUGGCGAAAGGUUUCAAGCUCGUACCUCUAAGUACUUUUUAUGUCAAAGGAGAUCAAGUUAAAUCCUUUAAAAUGUGUUUUUGAAUGGCUGCAGUCUUUGACACUCUAGCAGGAGCGUUUGAGUGGAUCAGGGAAACAGAAUUCGGAGGAUGAGUAAAUGGAGCUCAAAUCUGCUUUUGCUUUCCCUUUACUUGCAAUUGAGGGUGGAGGGGGAAAAUGGAUUUGGUUCACGUUUAAAGGCAAACCUGCCUAAUUCACGCUUUCUGAAACACCUGUCCUUUGAUAUUCACACUUCUCUGAUUUUUGCCAUGCAGUUAUUCAGUCAAAGAAGGUGUGUGAAAAUGCAUCUGUUACUGACAACAGCAUACCAGAAAGUUAUUAAACCAGGCAACAUUGCAUGCAAAAUAAGUGUAUAUUAGGAGAAAUUGCACUAAAAUGCUGAUGAAGUCACACAAGGACUUCUUGUUGUUUUUGCAACCAUGUGAUUUGGAAAUGUGUUUAUGGCUGGAAAAAAGACAAAGUGGGAGAAACCAAAACUGGCAGAUUUUCCUAUCUCUGCUUGUAUUGCAAAUAUGCAUCCUACUCUGACUACUGUAAAGUACAAGACAGCAUGAAUGGUCUUCCCUUGUUUGCUCUCCCUCCAUCUUCCUUCCUGUCACCCCUAUUAUCUCUGCUGCACCACAUUUUAGAAUGUAAUCUCCUUGUGGUGGGGACGUACCUUCCGCCACUACUAUCUGUCUGUCUAUCUAUCUAUCUAUCUAUCUAUCAUCUCAGUUUCUUUCCUGUGUUCCAUCCUUACCAAAUAAUUCUACAAAUGUUGGGGGCUGCCUUAUACUGCUAUGUUCUUAUUUGCCCAUCAAGCCCAAUGCACGUCAAUCAGACUGGCAACUAGUAUCUCUGUAGGUUAUAUUCCUGUUUGAUGCCUGUCAUAUCUCACUUGUCAUGGGCACCUGGCGAAAAGCCUCAGCAUUGGAUUGUAUUUAACAUUAGCCAUAUGCAGAACAAAUCUAUUAAAAUUACGUAGGCAACUAACUUAGGUCCGUUAAUUUCAGUGGGCCUACUCCAAUGACUAACACGGGAUAUGACCAAAUGACUUUGGCGUACAUCAGCCGUAAGCAAUGUGGUAUGCUCCUGAUUUUGCUGGACUUCCAGCUCAAUAAGGAGGAAAUUAUGCCCCAGCCCAACAGGUUUGGGGAAGACUGUGAUGCUGGGGUAGAGCAUCUGCUUUGCAAACGGAAGGUCCCAAAUUCAAUUCCCGGCAUCUCUAGGUAGGCUAGGAAUGGCCCUUUCCUGAAACCCUGCAGCUGAGUGUAGACAACAGUGAGAUAGAUUGACCAAUGUUGUGACUCAGUGUGAGGCAGCGUUCCUAUGUUCCCAUGAACACAGGUAGAAACAACAACUGCAAACCAUAACAUCAAAAUCCCACAAAGCAGAAAAAUAUAAAGUAGCUCUGCGAAGCAACUUUAGAUGGCAAGUAGAAACAAAUGGCAUAACCAGUGAAUACUCAUUUGAAACUGUAAUAAGAGACAUAGCCAAUUCAGCUUAUAACACACUUUGAGCUUUAACACAUCUUCAGCCAGUUGUGAUGCAGGUGUUGGGCUUUAAUUGGCAGCCAUCUUGCAAAGAAGUGUGACUGUUUUAGCAUGAAGUGGGAGCCUCUUUGAAAGAAUGGCCAUACCCAGUGUCUGCAUGAUUAUUUCCCUCUUUCUCUGGCUCCCUCAAUGCUAAUCUGUCGCGAACCAGCCUGGAAGCCUCAUUAUCCAUUUGCCAGAGCAAGUCAUGGGGCCUACUACGCUGGCACUUCAGCAGAUGACCAGACAAAUUAAUGGAGGAGAGGGCUAUUGAUUGUAACUCGCCACGAUGGCACUGUACCUCCAGAGUCAGAGAUGCUUCUGAACACCACCUGCUGGAAGCCACAGGAAGCAGGAGUGUGCUUGUUCUCAAAUCCUGCUUGCAGGUUUCCCACAGGCUGGCCACUGUGAGAAUAGGAUGCUGGGCUGCAUGGAUCAUUGGCCGAAUCCAGCAGGCUCAUCUUACAUUCUUACGAUGCCAUUGCUCCUGGUCUUAAAGCACAAACAAACUCCAAACCAUGAGCUGUGCUGUUCUGUGUUCCCCCUAUGCCACAACAUAGGGAGGGAGGACUCCUUCCAAGGAAAUGCUAGCCCAACCUUCCAUUGGGUGUGUAGACAGGGUCUCAAUAUUCAGAGGAGGACAGGGGCUGCUACGCCAUUAAUGAUUGUGUAGAAGGAAGAAGAAGAAGAAGAAGAAGAAGAGGAGGAGUUUGGAUUUGAUAUCCCACCUUUCACUCCCUUUAAGGAGUCUCAAAGCGGCUAACAUUCUCCUUUCCCUUCCUCCCCCACAACAAACACUCUGUGAGGUGAGUGGGGCUGAGAGACUUCAAAGAAGUGUGACUAGCCCAAGGUCACCCAGCAGCUGCAUGUGGAGAAGCGGAGACGUGAACCCGGUUCCCCAGAUUACGAGUCUACCCCUCUUAACCACUACACCACACUGGCUCUCAGUGCAGUGUAGUGCAGGCGGUUCCUCUGCACUUGGCCACCCAAAACGUUGAGCUGAUUGUGCGUUUCUUUGGAUCCUGUCCAGUGCUUUGCAGAUGUAACCCUAUGGUGAUGUAGCCUUGAGGUGAUGACUGAAGGAUGGAACGACUCCAUGGCAGGAGCUCAUGACACGAUUGCUGAACUGUGCCAGAUGGCUGGCAGUUGUUCUUAAUUCAGAUCACAGCAUGGCUGACCGUAUUUCAAAGGCUCUUUCAGUGUUGAAGGUGGGGGAAAAACUUUUAAUAAAGUUGCUGCUGUUCAAAUGUGCUCCCUUCCCCUCCAACCCCACCCCUGCCUUCCAGUUAUUCCUAGAUGUUCAGAAUGUUGUCCUUAAUUGACACCCUCCUUUCCAGAUUGGGGGAGUGAUGUUUUAUGGAAUAUUCAUAAUAUGUCUGCCACUAAUUAUCACUCUACCAAUGUGCUAUUGGGCAUAUGCAUACAGUUGUCUGGAAAAAACCACACACACAUAUGCUGAGCAACUGGGAUUUGAAUGGUGUCUCUCGUGCUGUUUCCACUCCACUGUGGUUGAGCUCAUAUUUUAUUAGCUAAAACGGGAGAAGGCAAGGAUGUUUCGGAAAGCAAAUGAGCCGACUCUAUUAUUGGCUUGUUUUUCAGUCCUACAUUCUCAGCCUAGCUUCACAUUCUCACCAGUCUCUCUUUGGCAACAUGUCAUGAAAUCAUAGUAUUGUUGAGUUGGAAAGGAGCCCAUCUGGUCUAACCCCUGCAAUGCCACCACAACCCCUCAACCCUGAGGUGCAUCUUAUUUAUUUUUUCAAGGUUCUGUAGAACAAUCUGCACCCCACAAUUAGGAAUACAGUUAUUCAGUGGAAGAAAAGUAUUAAUCAAAAAUACUUUUAGAUGCUUUUAAGUGUUUUAAAUGUGCUUUUGUUUUAUUUUUUAAAUGCAUGGCUUUACCACUUUGUAAAUAGUAGUAAUAAUAAUAAUGAGUAGUGGUUUAUUUCACUGAUGUCCUGCCUUUCUUCUCAACAGGGGUAACCAAUGUGGGACCCUCCAGAUGUUGGGUUGUACCCAACUAAGCCCUACUCAGAGUAGGCCUGUAGGCCCCAUUUUGACGAGCAUCCUCAGAUAGCACCUCAAAAAUGUUUUACCACCCUGAUUGUAAUUUUCACAUCUGGGAAGGCUUCAGGAAUGUCCUCUCAAUUGUGGUAAAAACAUGAUGCCUAAAAUGUAUAUUGUGACUAAUACAAAUUGGUUGCACCGCCCAUUUCCCAAGCUUGGGAGUUCAUCUUUUUGAAAUGCUGAAAAUUCACUUUCUGGGAUCAUGGGAGAUAUGUACUAAGUACAGUGGUACCUCUAGUUACGAACUUAAUUCGUUCCAGAGGUCCGUUCUUAACCUGAAACUGUUCUUAACUAGAGGUGUGCUUUCUCUAAUGGGGCCUCUUGUUGCCGCUGCGCCGCCUGCACAUGAUUUCCGUUCUCAUCCUGGGGCAAAGUUCUCAACUCAAGGUAACUCUUCCAGGUUAGCGGAGUUUGUAACCUGAAGCGUUUGUAAUCUGAGGCAUUUGUAACUUGAGGUACCACUGUAUUAUAUUCCUCUGACAAGUUGGGAGUUCAGGCCCUAGGAAAAACCCCACUUUGUAUAAAAUCCUUUUUACUGCAUUUAUGUUUUGUCUCAAUUCCCAUAAAUGACUGCUUAGGAGAACUCAGUGUGGUGUUUUACUGUAUUCCGAUGUUAAGCAAUUUGAUCAAUGUUGCUAUAAAGUUCUAAAGAGCUAUAAAUUUGCUGCUUAUUAAUUUGCCUUCUGGAGAGUUUUGACGUCUGGUGCAGUUUUAGGGUCUAGAAGGUGGAGCUGCAAUUUUUAAACCUGAACAGAAGUUGUUCUUGGUUUUUCCCUCCUUCCACUCUAUAUUUAUUUUUUCUUGACGAGCAGUUGCACUUUCCAGUCUGUUCUCCCCUCUCUAGAACUCGUGAGCAUCCAAGGAAGCUGAACGCUGGAAGAUUAAGGGUAGAUAAAAAAGAAAGUACUUCUCCACACAGUGCAUAAUUAAACUAGGGCACUUGCUCCCACUGGCAGCAGUGAGGGCCACCAACUUGGAUGGCAUUAAAAUAAGUGUGGAUAAAUUCAUGGAGGAGAAACUGAUCAAUGGCUACUAGCCAUGACAGCUGUGCUCUGCCUCCAUGCUUAGAAGCAGCAAUGUUUCUGAAUAUCAGUUGCUGGGAACUGCAGGAAGAGUGAAUGCAUGGCUCUUAUGCACUUAUGAAUGGUAAUAUAUAAAUGCCUUAAAUAAAUAAAAUAAGGGAGGCAGCAGAAACAGCGUGGAGUUUAUCAUGGGGUCCUUUGGACUGAAGACAUAAAAAUCAAAAGCUUAAAAAAACAACCCAUUUCCAACAUUAUUCCGGGGAAAGUAAUCACAUGAGGCUUACUAGAUCAACAUAUUUAUUUAUGACUUCUACAACCCUUAAGACAGCAUCUUAAAAAGCAGAGACAUCACCUUGCCAACAAAAGUCCGUAUAGUUAAAGCUAUGGUUUUCCCAGUAGUGAUGUAUGGAAGUGAGAGCUGGACCAUAAAGAAGGCUGAUCGCCAAAGAAUUAAUGCUUUUGAAUUAUGGUGCUGGAGGAGACUCUUGAGAGUCCCAUGGACUGCAAGAAGAACAAACCUAUCCAUUCUUAAGGAAAUCAGCCCUGAGUGCUCACUGGAAGGACAGAUCUUGAAGCUGAGGCUCCAAUACUUUGGCUACCUCAUGAGAAGAGAAGACUCCCUGGAAAAGACCCGGAUGUUGGGAAAGAUGGAGGGCACAAGGAGAAGGGGACGACAGAGGAUGAGAUGGUUGGAUAAUGUUCUCGAAGCUACCAGCAUGAGUUUGACCAAACUGCGGGAGGCAGUGGAAGACAGAAGUGCCUGGCAUGCUCUGGUCCAUGGGGUCACGGAGAGUCGGACACGACUAAAUGACUGAACAACAGCAACCCCUUAUUACUUUAUUAUGACUUCUACAACCCUUUCCCCAGGCUUGUAUGUAGGUUCAUGACUUUGGAGGUACUCGGAAGAAGCAAGAUGGAGUGUCAUGGCUUCUGUUGCCAGGGCCAGCCUGCAAGCUAGUUUCUGUAUUACUUCAUUAAAAACAAAGCUAGGUUUUGGAAUGCCAAUAUGAAAUAGUAAGGCAGGAGAGCUAAGGGCCUACUAUUUUAAAUGUUGAGAAUCCACAUAAUGCUGCUUGGGCAAAAUGUUGCCAGAAACUGAGGACUUUGGUGGAAUCAACACACACAGAAAAAACGCUGUAAAAAGGCUUUAAAAAAAAGCAUUUAGAUGAAUACAUUAAAUUUUGCAUAGCUCACUGUCGCCAUCUAGUGCUCACAUUUGUAUAUUGCACUUUACAACACAUUUUAUACAUUUUAUUUGCAGCUGUAUAGCUGACUCCAUAUUCACAUCUAUUUAGUUGUUGGGUUAUAAGUCUUUGGAGUCCUUCCUCACUACGGUAUUUUUUUAUCUAUCGACCAUGGCAGGUUGGGGGGGGGGCGGCGGAAUGUCUGACGUAAUACCCAAAUUCUUUUGUUAGUAACUCAUCUGAUUCUGUCCUCCAAAUCAGCACUGCUUGUUCUCCAAUAAAUCUGCAACAGUGGCUAUUCAAUACUUCCACAUUGCUGCCCUUUUAAAUUCCUGGCAAUCUUACUACGAGUCUGCACUAUAGCAAUAUGGGCACUGACUUGGGCACAUAAGAGUUCAGUUAAGCUUUUGAUCCUAUCAGAUCAACACCUGACAUUUGCUGGGAGCUCUCCAUGGUCCUACACAGCUCAAGCUUGUUCUGCUCUCGAGAAACCUGUACUCAAGGGAUGCUGAGAUUUUGUGGUUUUAGUGGCUUGCAGACCCACAGAAGUGAUGCUUGCCUUAGAACUGAUGCUUUGUAGAGCAGCUUCCCCAACCUGGUGCCCUCUAGAUCUUGUUGGGACUAUAUAACUCAGGGGUGUUCUCAAUGACCACACUUGAGAUGAAACUUUUUAAUAUAUAUAUUUUUUUAAAAAACCAUUUAUUUAUUUAUAUUAUUUUGGAAAAUGUAGACAUAUCUACAUAAAAAGUGUAAAAACGGGACAGAAGUAAAGUGUGCCUGCAGAUUUGACCUCUGCGGAAUUACUUAAAGCCAGUUCUGUUUGCUUGCAUGUGUUAAUUUUAAACAAGAAAGAUGGGAUAGUGCACUGCGGAGUGUUCCUGGCCAGGAUUCUAUCCUAUCAGCCAUGCCCUGUGCCUGGAUACUCCAUUCCAUUUUCCUCUGGUUUUCCAUUCCCAUCCUAGAACACUCAGCCAGUACUGAAUGUCCACUGAGCAUGCUUAGUUCUCACUGGAAUUUUUUGUGCUGGGAGGUUACUAUCUCUCUCUGUGUGUGUUUAUAAAUAUGUGUGUGUGUACUUCUUCAAACUUUGGGGCUCCCCCCAACCUACUGAUACCCCCCUUUUGUACAUGUGUUGCUGUUUUGACUACAUCAAGGUCAACAGUUACCCCUGGACUUCAGAAGCAGAAUGAUUUUCUGAUCGGCAGGAUGCUAUUUUUGCACUCAUGGUCAUAAAGCACCUAGGGAAAUGCAUUUACUAUUAAUAUAUAUCAAGGGUACUCAACACAGUACCCUACAGAAGAUGUUGGACAGCAACUCCCAUCAUCCUUGGCUAUUGGCACUACUUUCUGGGGCUGAUGGGAGCUGUAGUUCAACAACAUCUGGAAGGCAGCAUGUUCUCUCUCAGUAUGCAUGAUGUCUGUCAUUUCUGCUUGAAGCUUUUCAAGACAGCUUAAAAUGUAUAAAUGAGACCUUGCGGGUAUAGGGCGGUAUAUAAAUUCAAUAAAUAAAAUAAAAAGAAACUGAAAAUACAACUGAAAAUGGAAAGAAAGAAAGAAAGGACGAAGGAAGCAGGAAAGCUAAAUCCAACAUCUGGAGGGGAAGCUUAGUCCAAAAGUUAAGACAAAAUAAAUUCCUUCUACACUAGGGGGCUCCAAAUGCCCUCCAAAACUACACAGCCUUCUCCUGUCACCAGAAGACCAACAUUGCUGGUGCAAAAUGAACUUCUUUUGUGGAACAAAGUUCCAGGGCGUUGGUGCCACUGUAGAAAAGGCCGGUCCUGUCCGAGAUGAUACUUCACCAUCGUUCACACAGUGAACCCCCAUGAAGAAAGGUUACAAUGUUUGGGCUUUGAAAAGGUUUUUUUUGGGGGGGGGGAGGAAAUGGUAGAGGUGAAUAAAACGUAUGAUGUACAGUUGGCAUCCGCCUGUCUCAAGAGGCAAUGGAGUGCACCUCCAGGGGUGAAGUCAAAUUGCUGUGUUAGCAGCACUGAAGUGAUCGCCGGGGGGGGGGGGGGGAGACAAGCCACAGUGUGUAUGGAGGGUUGCCCAGAUGAUAAGACCCUCCUCCUUCUUGGCCUCACUGAUGUGGUUCAGAGGAAAGCAGAGCAAUGCAUUUGGCACCAGCUUGACUGCAGAAGUCGCCAGAUGGCACAAGGUGCCAUCAAACUGUCUUUGGGACUCCACUCUGAAUUUGCACAGGGAUUACUCCUUAGCCCUUUCUUCUCCCAAAGAUCUCCCACAAUGCAGCAGAGGUUUAGAAUGUAUGAUAAAUCUAGAACUCUGGGUCAUCCAAUCAGCUUCAUUAGAUGACCCAGAGUUCUAGAAUUAUGAGGGAGGGGGAAAAUGUUUGAUGUGGAGGGAGCAUUUCCCCCCUCCUCCAUAAUUCUAGAACUCUGGGUCAUCCAAUGAAGCUGAUUGGGUGGAUAUUCAGGACAGGCAAAAAGCAGUGCUUCACACGGAGUAAAACCGACCAGUUUAAGGGAUUCAUUGUCACAAAAUAUGGUGAUAAUCUCAAGCGUAGAAGGAUUUAACAGGGGAUCAGACAAAUUCACGGAGGAUAGAGUUAUCCGGGAUGGUUCAUCAGGAUGGCUAUAUGGAUGGUGACAGCAGCCACGAAAUUAAAAGACUCCUGCUUCUUGGGAGAAAAGCAAUGACAAACCUAGACCGCAUCUUAAAAAGCAGAGACGUCGCCUUGCUGACAAAGGUCCGUAUAGUUAAAGCUAUGGUUUUCCCAGUAGUGAUGUAUGGAAGUGAGAGCUGGACCAUAAAGAAGGCUGAUCGCCGAAGAAUUGAUGCUUUUUAAUUAUGGUGCUGGAGGAGACUCUUGAGAGUCCCACAGACUGCAAGAAGAUCAAACCUAUCCAUUCUGAAGGAAAUCAGCCCUGAGUGCUCACUGGAAGGACAGAUCCUGAAGCUGAGGCUCCAAUACUUUGGCCACCUCAUGAGAAGAGAAGACUCCCUGGAAAAGAUCCUGAUGUUGGGAAAGAUGGAGGGCACAAGGAGAAGGGGACGACAGAGGACGAGAUGAUUGGACAGUGUUGUUGAAGCUACCAGCAUGAAUUUGACCAAAGUGCGGGAGGCAGUGGAAGACAGGAGUGCCUGGCGUGCUCUGGUCCAUGGGGUCACGAAGAGUCGGACACAACUAAACGACUAAAUAACAACAGGUUCAGAGGCAGCAUGGUGCAGGGCAAUAUGUCUUGUUUGUGGCCUUCUCAGUCCCCACCAUGGGAAAUGGGAUGCUGGAUGCAAAAAAACUCUUCCUAUGUUCUUACAGACAAAUCCAUGGAGGGAUAAAGCUAGUCAUUAUAGCUAUGUGCUAACUCUGGUAUCAGAGGCACCAUGACUCAAUGCCAGUUGUUGGGGCCAUAAGAAGGAGGGUACCGUUGUGUUCAUGUCCUGCUCGUGGGCUUCCCAAAGGCAUCUGGCUGACCACUGUAGGAAACAGGAUGUUGGAUUAGAUGAGUCUUUCGUUAGACCGAACCGGGUUCUUAUGUAACUUGGAGCCAGGGCCUUGGAGGGAGGAGUUUAAUAAAUGUUUAGGAGACUGUCCUUUAGUUCUGCCAGACCCAGCGUGCUUAGGGUUUCAAAGGUCAACCCCAGGAUUUUGAAUUGGCCUUGGAACUGAUCCUGUUACUGCAGAUGUAAGUCUUAAGUAUGCUUACUCCAAAUACGUUCCACUGAAAUCAAUGAAAUGUUUAUUCUCAGGGGACAUGUUUAGGAAUUAAUGCUACAGGAAUCCUGUAACUGGUACAUGGAUAACAGCUGAUUUGGUGCAAUUAACUGGUGCUGCAAUGACUUGUUGCCUCUCCAUCUUGAUGUACUUUUAGCCAGUCCACUUUACUGCAGGGAUGUAUAUUUGCUGUUGAAACUCUGUUUUCAAUUUUGAGCAAAACACUGAUGAAGAAAAGGGCUGAUUCUUCUUUUUUUAAUAUAAAAAAUAUGAUAAUAAAUAACUUCUGAUUCCAGUAAAAGAGGAAAUUCAGUGAGUCAGUUCUCUGACAUGAGCAGAUGUCAACAUAUUAUCUAUCACUCAUCAUUUCCAUUUGGGAUCUGUUUUCCUUAGUGGGUAUUUGGCCUAGGAUUAAUCUAGGGCAGGAGUAGCCAACUGGUGUCCUCCGGAAGUUGCUGGAUUACAGCUAAUGCCAUCCCUGAGCUUUGGCUGGGACUCAUGGGAGUUGUAGUCCCAACAACAUCUGGGGAGUACCUUGUUGGCUAUCCCUGAGCUAAGGAAUAGAUUGUAUGUGCAGAGCUUUGCAGGUCUAGGGAGGGUCCUUGAAGGGCCAGAUUCCUAAUCUGGUUCCCUCUAGAUGCUCUGGACUACAACUCCUAUCCACUGCAGUCAUAGGGGCCAACGAUUAGGAAUGAUGGAAGUUGUAGUCUAAAACAUCUGGAGGGAACUAGCUUCAGGAAACAAGCUUUUCAAAAAAUGGCUUCAGGAAGAGAGAUGGUUCCCCCUUUAAAGAAGAAAGAAGACCCUAGCUUGUUCUAGUUGCUAACUCGGUUAGUGAGAUCCAGGACAGAAGCAAGCAAAAAAAUAGAAGUGCGAGGAUCUCUUUUGCAGUAUAAAUUCCUACUGGAUCAGACUACAGAGGAGGUUCUCUGUGUGGGAUGUAAUCAACUGGGAGCAGUCAUGUACAACAUUCCUUGUAAUGCUAGAGUGGACACGCGGGGGAAUGUUUAGUCCAGCCAGUCGAAACUUCCUGUUCCUCCUGGCUGCAGUAUCCUUCCUUUGCAUGUGACUAAAGGUGGGUGUGAUCUUACCUGUCCAGGUAACAAAAGGACGAGUCACGCAGCACACCUUUCCCCUUUUUGCUUCUUUCUUUGUUGGACCAACUUCUUAGCUUAGAGUGCCCUGCUAGCUUCUCAGCUAGCAGAAGCACUGGAUUAUGCCCCCAUAUGGGGUCCAACUGUGAACUGAUGUGAGUAAACUUCUUUUAUUGACUUUGAAUCAGAUUGUCGUGUCUUUAUUCUUUUAAGAGGGAUUAAAGGGAAUUUACCAGGAAUAUACAAUUCAAUACUGAGAGGCUUACACAAGCCUGCAACCAGCUAUCUGCUGUGCAUGUAUGAAAGGGGAAUGUGAACUCUGCGACAUAAAGAAACUUGCUAGUGCAAGUUAGGAAGGAUAUUAAUAAAGAAUACGUCCUCUCCUGCCACCCUGAACAUUCCCACACUGUGGACCACCAUUGGACCACCUAGCUCUACCUGGAGAUACCAGGGAUCAAACCUGGGAACUUUUUGCAUGAAAGUAGCACUUGUGCUUCUGCCACUGAGCAUCUCUUCUCUUCAUAAGAUACUGUUCAGAUGUAGUUCUGAAAAAGUGAAGAAUGUAUCUUGGCAACUAAUUAUAUCUAUAUGAACUUUGAAGGUACGUUAAUUAAAGUCAUAGUCCUGCCUUUCAACUUCGAAGAAUUCAAUUUGUCUGUGUGCUCACUUUUGCUUGCUGUAAUAUCCAAUAUUAAUUUUGAAAGCGAGGAAGGAAAUGAAUAUUAUUCCAAGGAUCAUUUUAUAUGUGAAUGGCCACAAUGAACAUUUCCCUUCCUCCCUCUCUCUUUAAUUUUAAAGACCUUUCUGUUAUGUUUGGCUUUUAAAUUUUUACAGGAAUAACUUAAUUAUUGAAUAAUUUAGUCAAUAUCAUUAGUGAUAUGGAAGACUGGAUCAAAGGCACAUUUAUUUAAGAUAGCAGUGGUCUGGUACUAGGAAGAUUUUAAGGUACUCCAAGUAAAAUGAGGAGGGAAAGGGGGUAAAAUGAAAACUAAUCCCAGGAAAUUGACAGUUAUUGCAGAAAUGCUUGGAAAACAAUACAGUGGUACCUUGGUUCUCAAACAACUUGGUUCUCAAAAGCCAGAAGUAAGUGUUCCAGUUUUUGAACAUUUUUCGGAAGCCAAACAUCCAAUGUGGCUGUCAGCUAUUGUUUCCAGGGCGCCUGCAAUAAUCAGAAGCUGUGCCUUGGUUUUGAAGAUUUCGGAAAUCAAACGGACUUCCAGAAUGGAUUAAGUUUGGCACUUUUGUUUUUGCUACUUAUUUUGGGUUUUUGUUUUUGAGGCUUUUUCGUUUUAUUUGUUUUGUGUGGAACCCAGUUCAGCUACUGAGUGAUGGAUUGUGUGACUGCAGAAAUGGAUGAAAGCCCCCCCCAUCCAAACAAUGACUAUCAUCAAUGCAGUAAGAAAAAAGUUUACUUUUAUUUUUUAUCAUCUACAAUACUGUCUUAUUUGUUUUAUAGUAAAGUACAUUGAUCAUUGCUUUCAUUUUAUGGAUCAAUGGUCUUGUUAGAUAGUAAAAUUCAUGUUAAAUUGCUGUUUUGGGGGUUGUUGGUUCUGGAACACUUUGGUUUUGGAACAGACUUCUGGAAUGGAUUAAGUUUGAGAACCAAGGUACCAGUGGCGGAGCUUCAAGCUCCGGCACCGGGGGGCAGAGAGCAGGUGGGGGCAUGGCUGGGGUGUGUGGCGCGUGUCCCGGGAGUGUGGCUGGGGGUGCAGCCGCAAUGACACCCCACCGGGAUUGUGCUGCCGGGGGUUGUCUGCUCCCCCCGCCCCCUCUUCCUCCGCCAGUGCAAGGUACCACUGUAUACCAAAAUAAUUUGUGGAUUUUUUUUAAUUAUAAAGGUACAUAACCAAAGAACAAGCUUGCUGUAUUGAAGGCUGUAGCUAACCAUUCUUCUGUGUGAUGCAGGAGCUUGGAAGGAUCAUUUUAAAAGGGAACUGGUUCAACAUGUCCAAAAAAAAACUAUUUCCAGUUCACAUUCAUCCUUUUACAAAAUGAACAAGUUUGGUUCAUAUUAGGGCUGGGUGAUAUAUCGAAAUAUCAUCCGAAACUGGUUUGAAGUUCAUAUCGUGAUGUUUGUUACAUAAUUUUUGAUGUGGUGAUAUAUCACAACUCAUGGUGUGUGUGUGUGUGUGUGUGUGUGUGUGUGUUUGUGCUAUGCAAAAGCCGUAAUGUAGGGAAAACAUUAGGAAGGACUUCCCAAUAGAAAGGGCUGUUUGACUGUGGAACAGAAUACCCUGGAAGGUGGAGGACUCUCCUUCUCCUUCACUGGAGGUUUUUAAGCAGAGCUUGAAUGGCCAUCUACCAGGGGUUCUUUAGCUGUAAUUCCUUCACUUCAGGGGGUUGGUUUAGAUGACCCGGGGUCCGUACAACUCUGUAACUGUGAUUCUGUCUCUUCUUCCAGGGCAGGGGUGGGGAACAGGAUGCAGUUAGCAGGCAGAUUCUGACCUCCCCACCCCCAAUGACCCUCUUUGACAGGGGAGUGGGACUUCCCCCUAUCUGUCACCUGAUGUUGCAAUUAUGCUGGGUGACUAAAAAGAAAAAUCCUGGCUCAAGUCACACCUAUAGAUCCUUUGCAUCACGGGCUUCAAUUUUACUUGGAGGCUGUGGCGUUUGCCUCCUAGGCUGGGUCAUAAGGAAAGAGUUAAAAUAGGUUGUGAUGUGAUUGGCCAGUGAGAAUGCAAGGGGGGAAUAAAAGAGUGGGAGGUUUUGAAAGUCAGUUGAGUAGAGUUGAGGUUUGGGAGUUAGGGGUUGAGUUUUGGAGUUGAAGAAUGAAGAGGGAGGUUUGGUGUGGGUUGGUAGAGUUGUAUUGUGAGAGAGUGAGAGGAAUUGUUAGGUGGAGUCAGAUAGAUAGUUGGAAUAAUCAGUUUGGAGUUGUUAGGAACUAAGAAUAAGAAACUGACAAGAGAAAAAUUAACUGUAACCAUAAGCUUGUUCCUGCAUUUAAAAAUAAACUUGAUUAUUUGUUUAUGUUAACAACUGACUGGACUCCGUGUGUCCCCGUGAGAUACGGGGUGGUGGCAGCGGAAAAAGCAAUCGCAGUGGCAGCACAGGGUCAAUAGACCGUCAAACGUCCGGGGGCCCUGUGUGUGAUUGCCACAGAGGCAGAUCCCAGCUCCUGGGCACAAGCAGCAGUAACCUCUUUCCAGCUAUUUCAGGUUGUUUUUAUCCCCGUUGCUGGAAAAUUUCUCCUAAUGUGAUCUCAGCUGCUUUAGGUUCAGCAGUAUAUGAGCCGAUUUAAAAUGCUGAGGAAGUGUGCAAGACAUGGCCUUUCCGGGGUCUGUGUUCAGUUUUUUAAGCUGUGGUGGGAACUUCCAUGUUCAAAAUGCUCCACUAGGUAAGGAAGUGAGGGAUUUAAAUAAUCGCCUCUCUUUGUCUCCAGUGUUGGCACCCGUCCAUGCCUUGUGUCUGGGUGCUGGCACGGUGGCUUCGGUGUCUUGGCUGAGUGUCAGCUCCAUUUCCCACAUCUUGCCUUGCAGUCCUUUCCGCUUUUAUGACUUCUGGACUUGCGUCCCUCGAACCGGCGAGCAGAAAUGGUGCAGUGCCCAGAAGUGUUCUCUUUCUCAGAUUCCCCCCCCCCAACCCACAUGCAUCUCGAACCCUUGCCAGGUGUGUGCCUCACAUUUUGAAGAGAAGCGGCCACAGGGCAUUUUCUGUAAGAGAUCUGCUUUUCACGUCUGUGGGCCUUUGGCCCAGGAUAGGCCUGGAUGGCCGCUGGCAUAAUAAAUCUUUAUUAGUGGAUGAGUCAAGUUCUCGGCAGACUGAAGUAAAGAAACAUUUUGCGAGCGGGUUUUUGUUCUGUCACUCUCAUGUUUGCUAGCAAAGUUUUGCUUUAGAGCAGGAGUGGGAAACCUUUCUUUUCUUUUGGCCCCCAAAGGCCACAUUUCAUUGUGGGCAACCCUUAUGGGGCCACAUGAUGGGUGUGACUCUUUUGUACAGUAGGCUAUAUCCCAGCCAUGCAAAAGUCACAGAGGUUUCUAUGCCAGCCUGUUUCCAGGCACAAUUCAAAGUGCUAGCUAUGACCUAGACAACUUAGGCCCAGGCUGCUGGAUUCUCCUAUAGGAACCUGCCCGGGCUCUGAGUUCUUUGGGGAAAAGGCACUUCUUUCACCUUGCCAUUCUCACAGGCACACUUGGUAGAGAAAGGAGAGAGGGCCUUCUUGGUGGUGGCUCCCAGACUUUGAAACUUCCUUCCUAGGGAGGCUAGUCUGGCUCCCUCCCUGUUGUCAUUCCACUAGCAGAUGAAGACCAGAAUGUGGCAGCUAGACUGGUGAUUGGGAGUGGCUGCCGAGACCAUAUAACACCCAUUCUGAAAGACCUUCAUUGGCUCCCAGUACGUUUCCGAGCACAAUUCAAAGUGUUGGUGUUGACUUCUAAAGCCCUAAACCAGGCUUCCUCAAUCUCAGCCCUCCAGAUGUUUUGAGACUACAAUUCCCACCAUCCCUGACCACUGGUCCUGCUAGCUAAGAAUCAUGGGAGUUGUAGGCCAAAAACAUCUGGAGGGCUGAGGUUGAGGAAGCCUGCCCUAAAUGGCCUCGGCCCAGUAUACCUGAAGGAGCGUCUCCACCCCCAUCGUUUAGCCCGGACACUGAGGUCCAGCUCUGAGGGCCUUCUGGCGGUUCCCUCCAUGGGAGAAGUGAGACUGCAGGGAACCAGGCAGAGGGCCUUCUUGGUAGUGGCACCCACCCUGCGAAAUGCCCUCCCAUCAGAUGUCAAGGAAAUAAACAACUACCUGACUUUUAGAAGACAUCUGAAGGCAGCCCUGUUUAGGGAAGUUUUUAAUGUCUGAUGUUUUAUUGUGUUUUUAAUACUCUGUUGGGAGUGCCCAGAGUUGCUGGGGAGGCCUGGCCAGAUGGGCGGGGUAUAAGUAAUAAAUUGUUAUUAUUAUAUAUUAUAAUUCCAACAGGCUUUGGGGAACUGACUGCUUUUAAGGAAAGGGCUCUUAAAUAGCAUGCUGUACUUGGUUGUUGUUUUGCUACCUGCAUUUUAAUUUCUUUGGGCUUUUUGCAUUGUUUUAAUUCUAUAGUUUAACCAUAACCAUUUAUAUGUUUUUAGCUACGUGUGUUUGUUUUAAUUUUUGUCAGCUGCCUCUAGUCCCUGUUCUGGGGGAAAGGCAGGAUACAAGCCAACCAUUCAUACAUGAAUCUCUCGCAUCUCUCCACCUUCCAUCCCGGCAUGACAAAGGCAUUGUCACAGUGAAAUGUUUAAGUCGGCAGCAGUUGUACUAUUUUGAUGCAGGGAUACUGACCACAUAGUAAUAUGAGUGAGCCCCCGCCCUGCCUUUACUUAAUUUCUCUUCUGAUGCACUGCAGCCUCAAUUUGCUGUUACAAUAAGGUUAGAGCAGGCGGUGAGCCCUCUGCCAAUAGCAAGCUUUGAUUUCCUGUUUUAUAUUAUCAUACUAUUUUGGCUGUGUCUUGGCACCAGAAGGCUGCACAAGAGGUUCUCUGUGUAUUUUGCUGAAUUUUUGAUGGCCCGGCUUGGGAUGGGACAGUAAUUAAAUGGACUGCAGGUUGGGACACACAGCAGAUUAGAGGAAAAGUGCUGAAUAAACAUAUUUUAAAAAUAAAAUAAAAACCAAACCAUACCGGUGUGUAAUUAAAUUGCUUGCUGAUCUGUUGGACUUGGGUGACUGCAAAUAAGAUUAUCUCCUAAUAUGCCUCUCAAGGCUCUGUCUCUCUCUCACACAAUUUUUCCUUUUCCUUUUUGUGGUAAGGUGCUGCCUUACAAAUGUUCUAUAUGCUGGUCACGUAGGUGCAGGUUUGGUUGGUUUUAUCUUUUUUUAAAGUUUCAGCACUUAAAUGGAGUAUGUGCAUGUUUAGCAAAACCUUUGAUCAAACAGAGAUGGCACCGGUGGAGGACUGUUCAUUUGGCUAAUGGGGUGCUGGCCCUUACCCACUGGCGGAAGAAGGGGGGUGCGGUGGAUGCGGUCCACCCCAGGUGUCAUCCCGGUGGGGGGGUGACAUCGCCGCCCCGCCCCCCUGGGAUGCUGGCCCCGCCCCUGCAGGUGGCUAGCCCCGCCCCCGGGUGCACAGCAUGUGUGCCGCUCCGAGUGCCACAGCAGCUAGCUCUGCCUCUGCCCCCGCCAGUCUUUCUAUGUACUUAGUCAGCCCAAAGAGUGGCCCUGCCUGACAGCUUUCUCCUGCUUAGUGUCAAAUAUUUGGAGCCUAAGUCAUUUAGGGCUUUAAAAACUAAUGUGCACAGCUUGUUAGAUUUUUUGGGGAGUUGAUAUAAGGCCCAUUUUUUAAAAAGUGAAGAUUGCAAGCGGUUUUGAAAUGCAGCUUUGGGCAAGAUUCCAAGAGACUUUCCUUUGGCUGACGAAAAACCCUCAAAACUUCCUAGACCAUCCAUCUCUUUUGGACAUGGGGUGUAUUUUUAAAGUCCCUUUUCACUGGCUGGGAUACUCAAUGCAAAGAACUAUAAUUGCUGGUUAACUGGUCUGGUAAACAGAGCCCUGUGUAGACAUGCAGUAAUUGAGGCUGUGUGGGUCGCCCGGUUUAAUUACUGUCUGAAUACUUGGAAUAGAAACUUUUCAGCAGCCACCAUAUCAUAGAGCAUCCGAUUAAGUAAACAAAUUGGUAGCUGCUGAACCACACGGCCAAGUGACGAGAGGAUUCUCCAAUCCUUCCCUCGAGGUCUUGGAGAAAUUAUGCCCAGGGUAGCCAGAGGCCUUGUGGGUAUUUCUCCCACACAUCUGGCAAAAGAGUGGCUUAAUUGCACUCCCAGAUGCAACCCAUGCCAGAUGAUUCCCCCACCAUCCCCCCAGCAACUUCUCUCUUGCUGACGGAUGAAAUUAGACUUGGCACGAUGACCUCAUGGUCCAUUACAGACACACCUUAUCCCGGACAUACUGGCUCAGGGCAGAUGUUAUGACAGCUGCAGGGAUGAGAUUUAGAGGCAGGCAAAUCAUGUUAUUGCCCAGGGUGCCAAACCUUUUUUUUUUUUUUUUUUUUGCAGUGGUGGGGGACAGUGGCACCAGGCUGGAGGUGCGACUGUUAUGAACUACAGUCAUACCUUGGAAGUCAAACGGAAUCCACUCUGGAAGUCCUCUUGACUUCCAAAAUGUUCAAAAACCAAAGCACUGCUUCUGAUUGGAAGCUCCUGCAGCCAAUCGGAAGCUGUGGAAUCCCCAUCAGACGUUCAGCUUCCAAAAAUCGUUCAAAAACCGGAACACUUACUUACUUACACGGGUUUCGAUCAUCCGGGAGCCGAUUUGUUUGGGAGCCAAGGCGUUCGAGAUCCAAGGUGCGACUGUAUCUACUCCAGGACUGGGGAAUAUUUUUCAGAUGGGGGAACACAUUUGCUUCUAGGCAAGCUUCCAGGGCCCCCACGUCAAUGGUGGGCACAGCCAGAGGUGAAAGUGGCCGGAGUAAUUAAUGUUCAUGUCAUGUUUUAUGCAGCAGGUAGUUUCUGCACACAAUUGCACACCCUUCUCUACCCUCCAGCCAGGUUAGCAGGAAUUCCAGGACACAUUUCAUCUGGGGAAGCCCCCCUCCCCCAAGAACAAACACUCAAGGUGGGUGCAGGGUACAUUGGGUGAGGGGGGUGUGUUGCUUUGGAAGUUGGGUGGCCUGGGGGAAAGUCCUGAGGGUCUGAUAGAGAAGUGUCAAGGGCCACAUGUGGCCUCCCCGCAGGUCUGAGGUUAUGUGCCGUGAAGAAACUGGCUAUGCUGCACAUGUCACAGAGUUAUGGAGGAGAGGAGAAGGAGGGAUCCUGAAAUGGCUUUCGAAAUACUUUUUUCCGUGGUGACAAAGGAACUCUAGAGAUGCUUUUUCCUCUGAAAAUCCAAUUUUUACGUACUCGGGGUCUAUAUGCGUGUGUGUGUGUUUGUGGGUGGGGGGAAGCCCCAAAGUGAAUGAAGAAUACUUGGAAUGCAGCCAGAACAAUCUGGGCCCCUGCUUGUUUCUCACUCUCUCCCCUCCCCCCCCCCCACCCCUGGCCACUGUCUUCUAUUUUUGAUGCUGGUUACAUGGUUUCCUGUUUGUUGCAAAAUAUGUGGGUUUCUGAAUGUUGCACCUGCGGUGAAUUCCAUACAUUACACCCUUCCUGUCUGCAAAUGGGCGCCCACAACCGUUUCCCUCCCCACCCACCAUAAGCGUUCACAGCAAGUCCUUUUGAACUAGAUCUCUGCCUUCUUUCUAGGAUGGAGGUUACUGAGUGGAGUUAUAAUGGGGAACCAGGACAAAAGAAUCAAGUGUGCUCAUCUGAAUCAGAACCCGUGAACUUGCAGCCCCAUUGGAUAUGGCUGAACUACAACCCCCUUAAUCCCUGACCAUUGGCCAUGCCAGCUGGGGCUGAUGGGAAAUGGAG